CAGAGGAUCCAGCAAGUGGUGCAGCAGACAUCGAGGCUGAACCAGGCCAUGUCGUCUGUGAUGGGGGCAGGAGGAGCUUCCACGAGGGCCAACAUAUCCUUCGGUGGCUUCUACGAUGGAUUCUGAUGGAUCAGAACAGAGUAUCAUCGUCAUUCAUCAAGCACAAAGUUGCCGUGGUAGCAGACUAGCAGGUAGCAACUUUAGUUGUGCUACGGCCAAGUGAUGUGAAACUCUGGGUGUAUACUAAUACUGCCACGCACGUACCUGCACAUACCGUGUGGUGGAUGUAAAUAAUUGGGUUGUUAUUAGACUUUGGUUUAAUUAAUACAGAUAAGGAUGGAUUAUAGGUUUAUUUAUUCACGUUGAUAUAGGUUAUGCUUAAUGGAGAAGUUACUAACUAAACGUUGAACCAUGCCAUGCUCCUCUUCGAUUACCUGUUUCUGCUUGCUUGUGUAUAUUCCCUCCGUAUAGGAUUUAGAAAUCGUUUAGAACAAUGGCAUGAUCUCCAAAACAUAACUUUGAUCUCUUAUUUUUAUAAAAAUAUUUAGAAAAAAAGAUAUGUGUAUACUUUUAUGAAAGUAUUUUUAAGACAAAUAUAUUCAUACAAUUUUCACAUUUACAAACUCGAUAAUUUUAAAGUCAUUGAUGAUUUAUAUUCCUAAUGUUUGACUCAAACCUUAUCCAAAACCACUUCUAAAUUUUAUACAGAUGGAAUAUAUAUAUAUAUUAAUAAAUAAUAAAUAUAUAGGUGUCAUUCACAUAUAUAAGCAAGCAGGGAGUUCCUUGUGAAUGACACCUAUAUAUAUAUAUAUAUAUAUAUAUAUAUAUAUAAAAGCAAGCAGGGAGUUCCUUGUGAAUGACACCUAUAUAUUUAUUAUUUAUUAAUUAAUAAAUGAUUUGUGAGCAUGCAGAAAAAUAGUUAUUGUUCUCAGGUCGUAAAUUACUAUUUUAUUAGUUGGGUGUACUUUAAUUUCGAUGAAAGAGGCCCGAAGCACGCACAAAAUCACAAAUAUAUUUUAAUAGCGUAAUUAGUCUAAGCCUUGUUCAGCAAGGGGAUUGCCCUAGCCACUAUCAUUUCUGUCAAAGAAAGUUUUAGCCAGCGGACGUGCGCCCUCAAUUGUGCGUUGUGGUGUUCAUAGUGACACUGACAACCCCACCAAUAAUCUGCUGGGCCUUUUUCUUUGUGCACGGCGACGCGACGGUACAAGUGUCCGUCCGUCCGCCCAUCGCGCCAACGACUCCGCGCAAUUAUGAGGUCCUCUUAACUAAUACUACUAUCGAUUCUAAAUUAUAAGUUGUUUUAAUUUUUUUAAGAUAUGUAGUUUUUACUAUUAUAUAUUAUAUUCAGAUACAUAGUAAAAUUAAUGUAUUUUUAAAAAAAGGAUUACAAAAACUUUGCCACUCCUUUUAAUGCAAGAAAAAAAUUAAAAGACAAGUGCUAAAUGGUUGAGUGAAAACCAUGUCAAAAACCAUACAGUUGGAGAGUGCAUCACUCAUCCCAAAUAACUUCAAUGUCUUCGAUACAAAGACUGAAAACUUCAAAAAACAAUGUAUUUGAAAAAGCCAAAACAUUUGUAAUUUGAAAUAAAGGAUGCAUGAGAUAUAAACGUUCUUCCUGGCUUCUCCUUAGGUAGACGUACCUAUGGUCGCAUUUAAGCCUAGUUCUUCGAGAGUUCUCUGAAUAUGGAAGGAGAAGCAUUUCCUUGUCAAGUAUUUUUGUCGUCUUGUCAUUUCACCAUCAAAUACCUUCACCACCACUAAGAUGCAAGGACUUCUUAGGUAAGAUUUUUUGUUGGGAUUUCUCAAUCAGUUUAACUAAAAAGUCUACCAAACCUACAUAUGUAGGAACGGCUUGUAAACUUAAAGCCAAACAUAAGAGCUUCACCAAAAAAAAUUCUUUAAAUCUUUCUUAAUUUACAUAAAUAGAUAUUUUGGUGAAAAAAUAUCCUUCAAUAACCUCUUUCAUUCGAUCUCCAAAUAUAAACAUCAUAUGUUCCGUAUUUCUUUCUAGCCAAAGAUAGAGAGCAAGGAUGACUCUCUGAAGUGUGUACAAAAUAUAAAAAAGUUGUUGGAAGGUAAAAAAUAAAAAAAAAGGAAUUUUACUCAAGCAACUCUCUAAAUAAUGAUUUCGGGAUAAAAUUUUAGAAAGGCUCUUGAAGAUGCUCCGCUGAAACUAAAAGUCAUUUUCACCCAAAGCUGAAGCCAAAAAAAAAAAACAUAACUUUCCCCAGUUUCUCCUUUUUAAAGAAGCCGGGACUAUACCAAACGGCAUCUAAAUCUACAAGUUAACGCCUAUUGAUAUAUGGUAUAAAAGGAGAAACACACAACAUUGGAGAACAAAAUAAAAAUUGCUCAAAUUUACAGUAGCAUAUAACAAAGUACCAUGUCCGCUAAACUAGCUAGUGAUGAUCCGGCCGGUUUUGGGAUCCUUGCGAAACAAAGGCACACGGUUGAAAUUAUUACGGGAGAAAAGGAGGAGGAAGAAAUAUCUCACCUGAAAGCUGAAGUGCAAUGUACUGUAUGUCGAUCAACACGGGGUAAAAAAUCUGGCGCAAGUCCUUAUCAGGUGGUCAAAACGAAGGCCACUUCGUCAAGUCUCUGAACGGGCUGGAGCGUGCCAGGGAGACCUUGUUCAGUUCGUGAAUUUUUUUUUUUUGACUUUGGCUACUGAAGCACUUUCGUUUGCAUGUGACAAUUAUUAUCUAAUUACAAAGUAACUAGGCUUAAAAAAUUCGUCUCGCAAAUUACAGAUAAACUUUACAAUUAAUUUUUAUUUUUAUCUAUAUUUAAUACUCCAUACAUGUGUACAAAGAUUCAAUGUGACGUAGAAUCUUGAAAAUUUUUAGAACUAAACAAGGCCCAGUUAGCUUGGCAAGUGGCAACGUUGCUCCGGCGAUGCCGACACGACACAGGGGUGAGAAGUGAAAGCGUCGUCGUCGUGUAAUUUGUUGCGUGUGUUUGUCCACGGAAUUGUUCUUUUGUGCACCAUAUACGUGCAUACAGUCGCGUGUACGGCGCAUUUGCAGGAGUAGCUAGUCGUUAUCGAGAUAUGCUGUCGUGUUUUAUUAAUUACAGUUGUUAUCGAGUAGUAGUUACUACUAAUGUAACUGAUUGUUCCUAGUCUUCAAAGCUAUGUAAAAUACUUUGUUAAUUAACCACUCCUGAACAGAGUGGCCAUGCUUUUGUAUUCCUAUUUACAGUAAAUAAAAUAUUACAAAAACAAAACAUAACCGAACAAGGGUUUAGUGAUUUUGGUAGUUGAGUGGCAACAUAACAUAGUCAAUGGGACAAAGAAUGUUUCCUAGUAUACAAAGUACAGAGUCUUAAGGAUAUAAGAGAUGGACUUGAGAUAGGCUACGAUGAAGAUCAAAGAAUCACCCACCUCAAAUAUAUAACUUAUGGCCAUCGGUGGAUCUGAAUAUGCCAACUUUUGCAGGAGAAAGUCCAAAUAAGGGUAAGCCCAAUUGAUUGGGCCAGUUGCAAGACAUUGAAUGGAUCAGAUCCAGUAGCUUGGUCUUCUAGAAGAUGAUGCUUCUGUCAUGUGUCCCUUUGGCACACCAUUUCACUGCUUUGUGGUUUCUUGGUUCUUUUUCUUUCUAGUACAUCAUGCUAUUUAGUUGACAAAUGGCAAUAGAGUUUUAAAAGCUAUUCAGACUGCUGCCCUAAUUUGCCUCUGGCCAUAUUAUUUCUAUGGAGCAGAUAAGGUGUUGCCUCUGUAUAACCAAAGAUAAACACUAUUCUGACUUUCCCUUCCUGAUAAGGUGUUGUACUAUCCUUUUUUUUUUGUAUCUAUUAUGCUUUUUUCCCUAGUUGCAUAUGCUUUGCACGGUUGAUGCAUCUCAAAUGAAACAUUCCAAAGAAAAAUAUUUGGCUGUAUAUAAGCACUAGUUAGUUGAUCAAGUCACCGGGUGACAAAACAGAUGAAAAGAUUCAACAUCUUUGUAUGCGUAUUAACUGCAUUAUAGGCUGAAUAAAAAAGAAAGAAAGAAACUGCAUUAUAGGCUACUGUUCUUUGGGUCUCAGCUCUUCACAGGCAUACCAAAAUUGAGCCUCUUGCUUAAUCAAAUUGGCUACUGGUGCUUAAACUUCAUUUUUUACCUGUAUUUUAUAUUCCAUAUCUGCUUGGUUAUAGUAUCUACCUUGUUUGAAAGAAUUGAGCCUCUUGCUUCAUCAAAUGGACUACUGGAGUCACGGAAUUAAUGUUGAAGUUGUUUGAUUGAAUCGUAUCCUACAUACUCUUGGUUUAAUUCAUAUACUAGAGUCAUAGUUACCACUGCUAAUAUUGCCAGAGCAAAGUCCUGUCACAUAAUCAGCUGUCUUAGGAUGGAUUUGAUUAAAAUCUAACUGUUCGCUUCUUUCAAACAAAUAAUUGUUUGAAUUUGAUUAAAUAUAAUUAGUCUGUUUUGAUGUGUCUCACCAGCUUUUUAUUAAUUUAACUAGGCAUCCUAGAAUUCAGUUGGAUGAUUUUAUUUAAAAGUUAUGACCAAGUUCAUGUUCAGGUCAAUGAAGAAACUCUGUUACUUUCUUGGAUCCUGACAUUUGAAAUAGACAUGUCAACUGAUUGCAGUGAUUGUCCAAUGGUUGCCCUGGAACAGGAUGCAAUGUAAACAUUGUUUUCAUGUUUUGUCAGAGUUAGUCUGAAUGACAGAAUUCUGUGUAGAUCUUACUGUCGCAGUAAUUGUUUCUAGACAUCAUCUUCCAGAUAAGUGACUAGCAUUUCUGCAUAUGAGAAAGAUUGCUUCCAUGCAGUUGCCAUUCAGAAUCGUGUUACUACAUACUAGCAAGUGGGUGAGAUGACCAUGAAUCAUUUUUAUGAUGUUUGCACGUGAACAGAGGACUUGUUUUAAGAUAAAAAGCAGUGAGCAGUGAAACGAAACAUACCUUCUAAUAGAGCUCAAUUCUGAUCGUUUUUCUUUCAGAAUUUGCACUUCUUCACAUGGGAUGAUUUUACAUCUGUUGAUCUCAUAUCUCUUCAGUUAUUGACUUACUAUUGAUGCAAUUUUUGUAGGCCAUCUUGCUCUUGCACGGGUCUUGGACUGUGUUGUAAUUUUGGCAACAGGCAAAGCUGAGGUUAAAAAGUCUAUUGGUUUAACCACACAUAUAUAUGAGCCAAAGUGCCAAAUUUCAUCUCUCUUAUUAUGAUUCUGCAUACUUAGUAUCAUAUCUUUUUUUUUUGGGGAUCAACGGGGGGGAGGCGUUCCCCACCUGAUAAAAAUUCUAUUUUAGCCCAAAAACGGCUCGCAAAGAGUCAGCAUAUUACAAGAUUACAAAGUACAAAAUACAAUAGCUGCAGCUAUGAGUUGCUUUGAUAGAGGUUUACAAGACUUAGACAGCGGAUGUCUAGGUUCGUGCAGGCCUAGCCAUUUCAAGGACUGAACACCAAUGGGUAGCUACUGCCCUUUUUCUCCUAGGCAGUCUGAACUUCCAGAGCUCGGUUGCCGACUUGCAAUCACAGUGUCAGCUGAAUGAACUUCGUUGUUGAAGAUCCUCGCAUUUCUGGCUUUCCAGAUGUGCCAACAGAUUAGCGCAAUGAAGGAGGGGAAUUCCUGGAUGGGGGCAGCAGUAGAGUUGGAGACAGUGUGGAGUUGUGACAUGUCCAUGGAGGUUAUGGACUAAAGGCCUAGACAUUGCCAUGUCUCCCGGCCGAUGGUGUAGCCAUGGAUGAUGUGCUCAGGAGACUCAUCACUGGCGUUGCAGAUUUCGCAAGUUGCAGAAUCUACAAUGUGUUUCUUUAGCAGCACCGACCGACACUUGAUUCUCCUCUGAGUUAGAAGCCACAUAAACAGCUGAACCCUUGGUGGAGCAAAGGUUUUCCAAAUGAAUUUUGCUCUCGGGUCCUCUCCUUGACCCCUAGCCUUGAUCAUCCUGUAAAGCUACCCACUGUCAAGGGAGUUGUCUGCUCGAAAGAAAGUCGAGCACCUCUUGUCCGGCUCACCAGUGAGUUGAGUGGAGUCUAGAAUGUCCUGAACCAUGUUCAGUUCUUGUGCUGCUAUUGUUGAAAGCCUAGGCACCAACGAGAUGCCAGAGGCUUUGAUUAAACUCAGAGGGGAAGUCUUCGCUGUACAGUGAGAUAGCAGGGAGGGGAAACGAUCGGCCAAAGGUUCAUCGCCGACCCAAAUAUCAUACCAAAACGAGCAGGUCCUUCCAUCCCCGACCGAGACAGUCGUGAUUGCUUGAUAGAGUGGUAAGAUGGAUCUCAGCGUCUGCCAAUGUUGCCCAUGGAGAUCACCUUCAAGAGAGCAAACAGAGGCACGACCCUGAACCCAUUGUGCCCAUGCCGAAGACUGAGGGCAGUGAAGCCGAUGGAUAAGUUUCAACAGAAGGCAAAUGUUCUGGAUCCCUAAAUCGCGUACUCCAAGCCCGCCAAACUCUCGAGGGCAGCAUAAAUUCUCUCAGGCAAUGAGGCAGGCUCCAGGUGAGCAGUGGCCAUUCUUGUCUGCAGACCAGAAGAAUGCCCUUCUCUUGGCGUCCAUGGCCUGGAUCGUGGUCUGGGGAAGUUGCAGUGAGCUCAUUAGAUAGACCAGAAUGGAGUCCAGGACUGCAUUCACCAUUAUUCCUCUGCCCAUGUGAAAGGUCCUUGUUUGGUUUUGGUAAUUGAGUGACAACUUAGGUGGACUAAUAGUGUUUAUGUGAGAUACAUAGGAGAUUAGUCCACAGGUGAUGAUAUGAUGAUGGAGGAGCUCAUUGCACAUGAGACAUGACAUGGAGUCAUGUGACCAAGGUGGAGAAGAUUGUGGGGGUAUAAACCCCUAUACCCUUACGGCUAGACUUGGGCCAGGAGGCUUGGCCCAUUACGAGACGAGUUCAAGGCUUGAUCCGACAGCUUGGAGUUUUGUGCAAGGAAACAAGAUGUGGAGAUCAAGCAGGAUUCUAGUCGGUUAGAAUAGGAAUUGAUAUCGAAUUAUCCAUGGCAAUUGUAACCGACUAGGAUUAGUUUCCAGAUCUGUAACCCUGCCCUCCAGACUAUAUAAGGAGGGGCAAGGGACCCCCUAGGACGAGUCACACAUCAUAUUCUCUCAACACAAUCCAAUACAACCAGACGCAGGACGUAGGUAUUACGCCAACUCGGCGGCCGAACCUGGAUAAAAAGCUUGUCCGUGUCUUGCGUCACCAUCGAGUUCGUAGUUUGCGCACCGUCUACCGAUAAACUACUACCGUGGGUAUACCCCAAGGUAGACUGCCGACCAGCUUUCGUCGACAGUGGCGCGCCAGGUAGGGGGUGUGCGUGCAACUUCUCCGACGAAUGAGAUGGCCAUCAUCCCCGACUUCGCGACCAUGGCAGGCGGCUUCACGUUCACCGUCAGCUUCAACAGCUUCACCACCACGACCGCGAAGGAGGCGUAGAUCCAAUCUAUGCCGAUCACUUCUUCACCGACGUCGGCUGCAGCUCCAACCACGCUGGCUACGGCUUCGACCACACCAGCAACGUUUCCGACCACGCCGACAACGCGUCGCACGCUUCCCUGCUACAAAGGGAGGCAGAUCGACAACACCGACCUGCUCGGGCCAUCGACCAAAUUGUUUAGCCUACUUGCUCUGACCACCAGUCGCAAUAAUAAUCGUCGCGGAGAACGACGCUAUGACAACAGCGACCACCGUCAUGACAAGUCGAAAAGCUCGAGGGCCGGACAAUUUUGUCGUCACCGACUAGACUUUCUUUCAAAGAUAAGUACACUUCUAAUAUUUUAUUUAUUUUUGGCAUAAUAUUUUUAAUAUUAUUAUUCUUUAAAACAACUUUUUUAGCCGACUAGUUUUUUCUCCUACACGAGCUUUCCAGAGCCGGCACUGUCUCCGACUCCUCCCUACACGUGCACGAGAUCCGCCCUCUGCGUUCCGGGUGGUCGGCAGUAGCUCUCUGGCGAGGCUGGCAAUCCUACGCGUGCCUAGGUUCCGCACCUCAUGCUGAUUGUUGGCUAGACCAGAGCUGGUACAAGCUCUAGGAUGAAUUAACUACUUGUGCUAAUUUUAUAACAAAAAAUCUAAAACUUAUCUCAGUACUAAUUUUUGUCUAAAGUUUAUUUAUACAUCAUGUACUACCUAUUCUUUAUAUUUAUUUUUCAGGGGUUUGGCCCAGUCGACAAGCUACGCUCGGGGACUCGUCGACUAUUCCCUACGCUGUGCCCGGGGACUGCUCCGACCACCGAGCACGUUUACGUUCCCAACCACGCUCGGUGACUUGUCGACUACUCUCUAUGCUGUGCUCGAAGACUGUGCCGACCACCGAGCACGUUUACGUUCCCAACCACGCUCGGGGACUUGUCCACCGGUCCCUACGUCGUGCUCGGGGACUGCACCGACCACCGAGCACUAUAUGCUCGGGGACUGGUCGACCAGCCCACCAAUUUAAAAACUUGGGGACUGCACCGACCACCGAGCACUAUACGCUCGGGGACUGGUCGACCAGCCCACCAAUUUGAGAAUUCGGGGACUGUACCGACCACCGAGCGUUAUAUGCUCGGAGACUGGUCGAUUAGUCUAUUCAAUUGCAGACGGACUGGUAAAUUCAAUUUUUUAGACCUUGCUACAAGGCUCAUACUUCGCCUUCCAGCAAGCUCGGGGACUACAUCGGUACGAUGCAUCUGGCGAUGCAUCUCAGUUUCAGAAUUUCUUUGAGGACUUUUCUUUUGACCCUGGCACCACGUGCCUACGUCACCUACUACCAGGCUCGGGGACUAAGUGGGCACACUUCACCUUGCGGUGAAUAUGCUUGCUUUUUGAAAGACUAUACUUUUCAGAAAAGUAAAGUGGGCACACUUCACCAGGAAAGAAAUCUUUUUUGAUUAAGAGCACCAUGCAUUCUUCGAACAACCUGCUUCUUCGAUGUCAAUGUUGAUCAACUGUCUUUUGAGUCGGUCAAAAUACCGUUGCAACUGUUUGGACGAAUUUCCUGCUUAUUGAAGACGUCAAGCCUCACUGAUCGAAGAAGCUCAAGACAGCGUGUUACAUCACAAUACAUGGUGCUCGGGGACUAGCUGUGGGGGUAUAAACCCCUAUACCCUUACGGCUAGACUUGGGCCAGGAGGCUUGGCCCAUUACGAGACGAGUUCAAGGCUUGAUCCGACAGCUUGGAGUUUUGUGCAAGGAAACAAGAUGUGGAGAUCAAGCAGGAUUCUAGUCGGUUAGAAUAGGAAUUGAUAUCGAAUUAUCCAUGGCAAUUGUAACCGACUAGGAUUAGUUUCCAGAUCUGUAACCCUGCCCUCCAGACUAUAUAAGGAGGGGCAAGGGACCCCCCUAGGACGAGUCACACAUCAUAUUCUCUCAACACAAUCCAAUACAACCAGACGCAGGACGUAGGUAUUACGCCAACUCGGCGGCCGAACCUGGAUAAAAAGCUUGUCCGUGUCUUGCGUCACCAUCGAGUUCGUAGUUUGCGCACCGUCUACCGAUAAACUACUACCGUGGGUAUACCCCAAGGUAGACUGCCGACCAGCUUUCGUCGACAAAGAUCAAGAUGAGGCUUGGCUUGAUGGACCGGUUGCAAGAGUGAAGGGCAAGUCGGAGGCUUUGAAGCGAGGGACCGCGUGUGACGAUGAAGCUUGAGCAAGACUUGGCGCCGAUGGACCGAGGCAACGGUGAAGAGCAAGUGAGGUCAAGAUCGAUGAACCAAUACGGUCACGUGAUGAUAUAAAGUGGAUCAUAUCAUUUGGUGAUUGGUUGGUGCAUGUGUUGCAUCAACAUUGGAGGAGAUGGAAUGGAAUGCGCAAGGCAAAGGUAUAACCUAGGGCAUUUUCAUUUCACCGGUCAUAGGUGUGUAGAGAAGUUUAUGACCGGAUUUAGGAUAGAUGGCCGUACUAUCAAGAGGGGCAAACUUGUUUGCAUAUCGGUCAUCUAGUGCCAUUUGAGCGAUCUAACUUUGCAUACGUGUUAGGAUCGAGUGGCGUGGAAAGUUUGAGAGGCUAACUUCUUUGGGAAAAUGUUUGAGAAAAUGCUAACACACUUGCACAUGGUGGAGUACACUUGGUGGUGUUGGCACAUUUGCAAAGGAGGUGGAGUUCCUAGGAUUGAGAGAGGUGUGGGUUUCUCUCUCCCUCCCGCCGAGUUUGCGAGGCGGGAUUCGGCGCUUUUGAGAAAAUGAAGUGCAUAUUUUCUACUGCACCGGUGGGAAUUUUUGAGAAGUCGCGGGAGUGUUUCUCACUGAGAAACACUCACCGGACGCUCUGCGCAGAGGCACCGGACGAUGGCCUUUAGCGUCCGGUGUGCUGAUGGGUGCAGCAGAGUGCACCGGACGCACCGGAGUGAGUCCGGUGCUCUGCGUCCGGUGUGCGGACGGUUUGGCAACCCUCUCUGCGCAUGAGUCCGGUGAAGCACCGGACGCUCAGGGUGCGUCCGGUGGCUUGCGUCCGGUGACCCUGCAAGUUUACGGAGCUCUCUGCGCACGGGUCUGGUGUGCACCGGACGCGUCCGGUGUGGACUAGUUGAGCGUCCGGUGGUGCUGUGUCAGGCGCGGGCGCGUGGUAGCCGUUGGCGGCAACGGUCGAGUUCAAACGGCUAGUGACACGUGGCUGACGCCUGAGCACCGGACGCUGGGAGUUGAGCGUCCGGUGGCUCCCUGUGAGCGUCCGGUGCCCACGUGUUUUGCCCAGUGAAGGGGCAACGGCUAGUUUAGCCCUUGGGGCUAUAAAUAGAAGUGGUGGCCGGCCUUGGCUGGUGCUGAGCACCCUUGGGACUUAGUGUCCAUGCUUGGGGAGUGCUAGUAAAGCCUCUAACUCACAUAUGCUUGAUAGUGUUCAUCCGAUUGUGUGAGUGAGCGAUUCUAGUGCGUUGCAUUGAGAGAUUGCAUCGAGUGGCACUAGGUGUUCGUGUUGCAAGCCGGUGGUGCUUGUUUCUCUUGGAGGUUGCCACCUCCUAGACGGCUUGGUGGCUUGUGACUCCGUCGAAGCACGCAAGGAGAUUGUGCGGUGCUCCGGAGAAGAGAUUGUGAGGGGUACGGUGCUCACCCCGCGGGGAUCGUGAAGAGCAACUCUAGUUGAGCGAGACGUAAAGAGCAACAAGUGGUCCGGUCGGGUCAAGUGCUAGAGCUUGUGGUAAGCACUCCACGUGGGAGAGUGUGACUUGCGGGUCACCACUAGCAAGAGGACCGGCGGCAACCUUGGAGCUUGUCUCAACGGGGACGUAGCUUGGUGGCAACCAAGUGAACCUCGGGAGAAAAUCAUCGUGUCAACAUUGUUCUUCCCGUUGGUUUGCAAGUCCCUAACACAAGCUUGUUCUUACAUUCAUAUACUUGUGCUUGUGUAGCUGCUCUUGUAAUUAGUUAGCUUGUGUAGCUUGCUAGUUACCUUCUUGCUUGUGUAGCUAAGAAGUAGUUCCCUUGCGUAACUAAUUUGGUUUGUGUAACCUUGUUAGUCACAUUGCUUAGUUUGUGUAGCUAAGUAAGUUGCGCUCUCUAAUUUGGCAUUAGUUGCCUUGUUAUUGAGCUUGCUAGUGAGCUUAGGCUUUGUGCGCUUUGCCUCACUAGUUUGAGUAGGAGCUCCUCCGGUUUGCAAAGUACUAGUUGCAUAGGUUUGUGUGACCUUGCUCCUAGAAUUAGUUAGGUGAGCUCUCGCUAAGGUAGCACCUUGCUUGCUUGUUUAGGAUCUUUUCAAGGUGCUAGAGAACUUAGAUAGAGGGGUGUAGUCUUGGCUAGACCGAUAGUUUUAAUUCCGCAUUUGUUUCGGUUAGCCGGCGUAAUUUUUUUAGAAAGGACUAUUCACCCCCCUCUAGUCCGCCAUCUCGACCCUUCACCAUGGGAUUCAGCAGAUCGGCCUGCCAGGAGCUGAGAAACUUGUCUGCUUUUUGGAUGUAGGUGUUGAAAUUGGAUAUCGAUAGCUUGGUUGCAGAAAGGGGAAGUCCCAGAUAUUGCUGAGGAAAGGAUUCUCUGCUGCAGCCGAUGGCUUGAACACACAUACUCACAAUCUGCUCAGGAACAUGGAUAGGCACCAGAGUACUUUUGUCAAAGUUUAUGUGCAGCCCAGACAAUGCUGCGAACUGAUCCAAGAUUUCUUUUAACUUCACAGCCGUUUCAGUUUCAGCUUUGAAGACCACCAGUGUGUCAUAGGCGUAUUGCAGUACAGCGCAUGGUGACUCAGUAUUAGUCGGGUGCUUAAGCUGAGGGGCUGCCCUGAUCAUGCGUUGAAGUGUUUCUGCGACUAGGAUGAAUAAGUAAGGAGAAAGAGGGUCGCCUUGCCUCAGACCCCGCUUACAGUUUAUCCAUGGUCCCGGAGUACCAUUAACCAGAACAGCUGACUUUGAAGUACACAGAAGGCUCAUCAUCCAUCGAAUCCAUUUAGGCUGGAACCGUCUUGCGUGUAAGAUGCUCUGAAGUCCAUCCCAGUUAACCGUGUCGAAGGCCUUGGCAAAGUCAAGCUUCAAGACAAUUGCUGCCAUCUUUCUUUUAUGACACGUUUGAACCAGUUCAAGAGCAUAAACAAAGGUCUCAGAGAUUGAUCUUCCCUUGACAAACCUAGUUUGGUGCAGGUCGAUUAGUUUAGGAAUCUCCAACUCCAGUCGUGAGGUCAAGGCUUUGGAGAUGAUUUUUAGUGCACAGUUUUGGAGACAAAUCGGCCUGAAGGCGUGAACAUCCAUAGCAUUAGGUUUUUUGGGCAACAGAACCAUGUGGGACCUGUUUAACCUUUCCAGCUCGGCGUUCUCCGCAUGGAACGCAUCAGCGAAUUGCAUUACAAUGUCUUUAACUGAUGGCCAGGCAAUUCUGAAGGAGGGGCCGAACCCGUCAGGCCCCGGCGCGCUGAUGGGGUUCAUAGCCAUAACAGCUUGCUUCAGCUUAGAUUCAGAGAACGCCCUGGUGAGAUCACUGGCAGGGGUUUGAGUGUCUGCAUAGUAUUCAUCGAAGUCGAACACUGCUGCCUGCCCUGGGACGCCGAUGAUGGAGCUGAAAAAGGCAGUUAGCGCUUCGGUCUUUCCUGAGUGGCUGACGAUCUCGUGGUCACCCACUUUCACCAUCCUGAUGUAUUUCUUCCUCAUCCUGUGAGUUGCCUGAGCGUGGUGAUAGGUCGUGUUGCAGUCCAUUUCCUUUAUCCUCCUUUCUUUGCUACGCUGCCUCCAGUAUGCAGCCUUGAUCUUGAUUUCUUCAUGCAGUUUUUCCCUAGCCUUGUUUUUGACCUGAAACUCGGAUGCAGAAAGGGUGUGAUAUUCUUCGAAGUAGUCAAAUAACUGAAUAAUGAAUUGGCAGUUUUGGAUGAUUUGUGGGGGCACCCUGAAACGCCGUUUCCAAACCUUUGCUGCAACUCUUGCUGCCUUGAUGCACGCCACCAGUUUCCCCGCAGCGUCGCUGCAAGCAGGCACCUGCUGCCAUCCAAGAACGACCGAGGCAAGGAAGCCGUUGUUUUUGAGGAGGUAGUUAUCAAGUUUGAAGGAGUUCGAUUUGGGGAUGUUCGAAGAAAGAGACAACAUAAUAGGUGUAUGGUCGGAAGUUGGCCUUGGCAGGGAGGAUAGGGAGGUCAUCGUGAAGGCUAGAUCGAGUGCCACAUUGGUGAAGGCACGGUCGAGUCUAGCCAGGAUUGGGAAUGCCUGUUUAUUUGACCAAGUGAACCUUCGAUCGGAGAGAGGAAUUUCGGUGACCAGGAUUUGAAGAAUGGUGUUGUUGAAAGCGUCAGCCAGAGCAGCGUUGAACUGGCCGUUGCUCUUGUCUGCGGUGCUGCGGACAAGGUUGAAGUCCCCUAUUAGGAUCCAGGGCCCGGUAAUAUGUUGGUGGACAUCACAGAGGGACUGGAGGAAGAGGUUGGAGAAGUGGUGAUCUGCCGGGCCAUAGACAUUUGUAAUGGAUAGAUCAUAAUCGGAGGCAUUACAAGCGAAAGUUGUAGUGAGGCUGUAGGGGUUCGAGUGGUGCGAGGUUAGGGAGAAGAGGGUCGGGUCCCAGGUGGUGAUCAGGCCCCCUCUUGAACCAUCAGCUGGAGAAAAAACAUAGGAGGAGGAGAAGGGUUAUGGUAAGAAGGUUUGAGAUUUGAAGUUGUUUAGCUGGGCCAACUUGGACUCCUGAAUGCAAAUGAAGGAAGGUUUAACAUCAGAGAACAACGUUCGCACGACCUUGCAUUUGUCUGAGUCGCCUAAACCUCUUACGUUCCAAGACACAACGUGAAAGCAGUGGUUAAGCGAGCUCAAGUUCGACAGGGAGUUCAUGGAUUACAACCGUUACAGACAACAACAGACAAAGGAUCCGGUCUAGCAGCGAUCCCAAAACCACAAAAUAAAGCGUGAAAAGAAAGCAAAAGAUACAAGCACCACCGCAACCAAGAUCCCAGCGGGCGUUGGGGCUGUGGUGCAAACCACCAUGGAACGGGGGAAGGUUAUUUGUUGUAUUAAUUUACAAAAGUUGAGACUUGUAGUGAGAAAUGAUAACCUAUGUGUAUGCAUUCUAUGUCCAUUUAACCACCAACAAUUACUCAUCCUCCAAGUGAGACAUGAAACAGAAGUGUGUGCUCUGAAGAUAAUGAAGAAAAACAUUAGGAGCUACAGAUUGUUUGUCAUAGUCGUCCCCUUCAUCCUAUUGUAAAUUGUUUUGUAAAUAGUUUGCUCCUAGCACAAGGACUUCUUCAACAGUAUAAAACAUCCUAAAAUUUCUAACAUUUUUUUUAACGAAAAGCUUAUCCUGUUCACUGUUUGUUGCAUGUUCCACCCGUUUGCUAUGUAGAAUGCCUGAUUCAGUCUGCAAGUGUUUCUAGUUUCUUCUUAUAAGCUCUGAAACUAUGUUCUCACCUAUCAGGAGCAAUAUAUCUCUUCAAGUUACGCUCCAAAUUCACUUGUUUGUUUGGAUAAAUAAUUUUCUUUGCAUCUGAGCCAAGAAUCAACUACUAAAUUGUCAGCAAUACGCAAGGAAUGGUAGGACUGAUGUCUGUCCUAUACUCCUAUAACUAUAUGUAUUGUUCAUCCUUCAAACACAGUUUGCCAGUGCCAAAUCAGCAAUUCUGUCAAUAUUUUUUAAAAGAAAGCACAUGUGCAGAAAAAAUAACUAACAUUCAAAUUAAUAAAUGGAAUAUCUUGAUUUUGCUCCGUGCCUCAACUUGUUUUCUUCUAUUCAGAACAAUGUUGAAAGAAAGAAACAAUUACAGUGGCUUUUUCUUCUUCUUCUUCUUUUCUUUUUUUUCUUUUGCUGUUACUAGUUGUGAUGUCGCAUCACUUUAUUUUUGCAAGUCACACAAACUGCUGUUGGUGAAGUUGUUUCGUGUGCUUGGAUGGUGAUGGAACACAAAACCUUUGAAAUUUCUUACACUAGUCUGGACCAGACAGAUGUGAGCUGAUGGUUCUGCUGGGGGCCUGUCAAUAUUAAGCAUCAACAGCAUCAAGUGGCCAGUAAACUUUGCUCAAGAAGACCAGUGGCCAAGAACUUCAAUUGGUAAGGCUCGGGCUUACCUGAUUAUAAUGAGUGAUUCAUAUGUGAAUUGCAUUUUGCUUACAUGCUAAGUGGAGUAGCUUAUGUUUCCUUGCUGUAACACGACAUUCUAGAAUAACAAGGAAACAAAGAAUAAAGACCCCGGCUGGUCCACAUAUAGACCUUUUCCUUUUUUGAUUGAUGGAUGAAUCAAUUUGAACCUUUUUACUGUUCUCCUCUGUUUUUGUUUUGUCCCUACCCUAUUGAAAGAACAUAAAAAUCACACAACCUUACAUGUAAAUGGUAACUUGUUCGGUAAAAGUAAACUAUAUAUUCUCUCUAUUCCUCCAUAAAUCAACUCCUACAGUUGUCUAAAGUCAAGCUUUUUUAUAUUUGACCGAAUUUAUAGAAAAGAGCAUAAGUAUUCAUGAAAUAAAAAAUAAGCACAUUAUGAAAAUAUGUUUUAUUGUGUCUAAUAAUACUAAUUUGGUGUCAUAAAUAUUUGCACCCUUUUCUACAAAUUUGCUCAAAUUUUAAAAAAAUUACUUAAAGUAACUCUAGGAAUUAACUUAUGGGACAAAUGUAGUAUUUACUCUGUCCCAAAAUAUCUAUCGUUUUCUCUUCCCAGGAAAUAACUUUGACAAAAUAUAUAUUAAAAAAUAUUAAUAUUUAUGGUAUAUAAUUGACAUCAUUGGAAAGGAAUUUGAAUCUAGUUUUUCAAUAAAUUUAUUUGGAGAUACGAAUAUUGCACGUAUUUUCUACAAAUUGAGUUAAACUUGUGGCACGAAAACCAAAAGCGAUGGAUAAUUUGUGACAGAGAGAGUAUGUGUAAUUAGGGAUGGUCAUUCACUCUACAUCUCAUCAACGGGACAACAUUAUGUUUCCUUUGCUAUUACACAAUAUUCUUCUUUUUUGAACAAUUUAUUACAUGAUAUUCUAGAAGAACAAUCCAACAAAGGACAGGGACCUUUGCUGGUCAAAUCAACCUGUUUGAACCCUUUCUUUUUAUUGUUCCCUCGGUUUGUGCUCGGUAUCCUAUGAUAUUAGAACUUAGAAGCAAAUUAAAAACCAGUCCAAAACCUUGUGUGCUCUUGUCUAAUCCUACAUGUAUCUACUAAUAACUCACCUUAUCGACAUAUUAUACAUAUAAAACUUGGGACGGCCAUUCAGUUGUUUUGUUUGUACCUCUUCAGCAAGCGUUAAGAGCACCACUUCAUGCAUUCUUUUUUGCCUCUUGAAGAAGCUAAUGCGUCUUGGUCAAGGGCUGUACACGCAUGUACAUGUACACACUGACAAGAGCAGCAUACCGACAACACAAUAGACAGCAUCUAAAAGGUAUGUGCUACUUACUAGUCUGAGACUCUGAAUGAGUGCAAUAUCUAUUCAAAAGGUUAAUGAUUACUUAAAGCAAAUUAGCGACUACUGAUACGUUGUCAGUACUUAAUUUCGUUAUUAUGCCUUCUUUUUGUGCACUAGCUGUUUAAAUGCAUAAUAUAAGUCCAAAUCGGCAAAAUCAACCGGACCCAGCAAAUCAGUGUCCUGUGCUGCCUUAUGCAAAUACUAAAAUCAAAAGCUAUGACGACCAUUAGUGUUUGUUCAGAGACAUUUUCUUUCCUUUAACAAAGGGGAGACCCAAGAUAUGGCAUAAAACACAAGGAUGGCGGCAAAGGCUGACCAAACAGGAGCACUCGGCUUCUUCAAAGUACAGGAUUAUAAAACCUGAUAUAAAGCCUGCAGAAGGUACAUCAAACAGUGAAAAUGAAAUCCACAUACAUACAUAUAUAACCACAUUCUGGUGUGGCACUACUACUACCUUACUUGCAUUACUAGUAUACAUAUAUUCUUUUUUUGGGGGUGGGGGGUUAGGUUAAAGGGUGCGAAAUCGCGGUAGCUAGGAAGAAGAGUGAGGAGGGGAAAGGGACAAGAUACCAGAAUAAAUUGCUGAGGACACCAUGAUUGGUCUGCAAGGAACGAACGAUCGAACGAACCACAUUGUGUGGUGUGUGGCCUGAGGGGGGAUGGAACAGUGCAAUAGACUUCACCCCCUGCCCCGUGCCAAAAGCAACGCCCUUUCUGAUGGCUACCCGCUUUCUACUACCCGGCAUCCUCCUGCUGCUGCUGCUGCCUAUUUCCUUUGCUCCGGGUGUUUUGCAUAGCAUAGGAGCCCUGCAGCCACAUUUGUUUGUUCCUGGUUCCCGGCCCUCUCCAUGGGGUGGCUCCACUCCCUCUUCUCCCCUCUCAGGAGGAUGUGGGUGAGGGCGCAUUCCGAGCGCCGCAACCGUAAGUAGUUCUAGCAAGCUCAUCUCUCUAUCUGUCUGUCAAUCUACCUCUGAUCAUGAUCAUCAUAUCAUAUCCUGAGCACAUCAAGUAUUUGCUCUUUGUUAUGAUCUUGCUGCAUUGCAAUUUGAAACAUCAUGUUCUUGGCUUCUCGCUGGCCUGCUUUCCUGCCUUGUUGUUUCUGAACAUGCAUAUGCUUGCACAAUUUGACAUGAUGCAUUGCUUGCAAGGUGUGCUAAACUUACUUAACUGGGGUUGGCUUUGCCUUUUAAUUUGCUUGGCAGGGAGGGGAAUGCACAUCCUGUACAAGGACGUGCAGUCGUGCCAGGACGAGGACGUGCACGUCCUCUGGUCCAUCCUCAUCGACUCGCACCGCCACCCGGCUGUCCUCAAGCUUAAGCUCUGAACCAAGCUCAGCAAUGGCGCCGUCUACGUGUACCUAUUUAUAUAUGCCGGGUGCAGUCUGAGAGAGAGCAGCCCUCCUAGCUGGCCUCCCAUCCCAUCAUUUAGUACUAUCUAUGGUUUGUCUUUGAUGAGGAUUACUACUCAUUGGCCAUUGCUGCCUUUGCAUUCCAAAACCAAAGAAAAAAAAAGGAGCUCAGAGGUUGAAGAAGAAGAGAGAGAGAGAGGUUUUCUAUGCUUGUUGUGUGAUGUUUUCCCUUUGUUCUUUUGCUUGUUUCUUUGAGGUUGAGAUGUCACCUUUGUUUGUGUUGGGCUUGAAAAAAGAGUGUGAGGUUGAGCUCCCUGUACAUAGACACAUACACUUGCUCAAGUGAUGCCUUACCUUAAAUUCUAUCGUACUGUACAGUUGUGUGUAUUUGCUUGCAUUGUGUGUAUGUGUAUGGGAUGGAGGCUGCUGGUUGUUAGACUGUAUCUGUCCCUGCUUUUUUGUUACAAUUUUUUUAAAAAAAUUGCCCUGUCAAUUUGUUGGUGCCCUGACGUGUGUUGUUUUCUCACGCACGAAUGGCUGCCAAGUGGUCGUGCUCAUGUAUUUUGGACUAGAAUAUAUGCAGGUUUGAAGUCCAUAAAAUCCAGAAAGAGUAGUCCAAGACGUACACAGUUUGGGUUGUAUUUUAUUUAUUUUAUUGUCACGAAUUGCCAGGGCAGAAAUAAAUAUCUUCCGGUGGAUGCUGCCGGCUUGCCGACACUCGUAUAGUCGUAUGUAUAGUCGUAUGUAUAGCCGUAUGUAUUUAUCGUGGAGCCAAAGGUAUUUUGUACAUUGGUUAUGGAGCUGUGGAGGAGUUGUUGAGCGAUGUUCUUUAUGUAUCUUUUUGAAGCAAACAUUUAUGUAUGUAUUAUUCUUUUUUACAUGCUUACUUUAAUAGAUGGUUCGUUCACUUUGCAUCAGUAAUAAUUCGUGAAAAGGUUGGGACCCACCGGUGGGCCCACUUGCACCAUUCGUGUUACUUGCUUGACGAGUAUCCCCAUCUCAAAACGAAUGCUUUUCCAAAAAGGUACACUAUAAAAAUAUAUUUUAUGAUUAACAAUAUAAUAAUAUGUAUUUGAAAUUAUAAAUAUUAGCAUAUAUUUUUUAUAAAAAUUGAGUCCAACUAAAGAUGAUUCUUUAUUUGAAUUAACACAAUUAUAUAUUUUUUUCUAGGACAGAGAGCAUGUUGCACAACAGUCCUAUAAAACGUCUUACGCUUUGGGCGGAACGUUUAAAUUCAUCUUUCGGAGAGGGAUUUUUUUGGUCCUGUAAGAACUAUAGAAAUGCAAUAAUAUUAAAAUGGUCACAAAUAAAUAUCGUAGGUACAGAACAGAAUCUAGUGUCUUCCUCUUUCAAUUCUAGACCUCACACUUCUUCUCGCAACAUCUUCCUGAUGCACAUCUCCCAUAAUGCCCUUCUUAGAGCUAAUCUAUAACUCUUAUAAUCCUAAACCCCACUAACUAUUUCUCUAAGCAUACAAGCUAUCCACCUAAGCAAUGCACUACCAUAUUUCAUUAAAAUCCACUAAGUAAAACCUCAAUAACUAUUUAUCUCAACAUGCAAUGCACUACCACAUAUACAAUUAAAAUCCAAUAGCACAUAUGACAACUGUAAUGUCCACGUCAGCAAGACAAAUAAAUAUAAUCCACAUCAUCAUAUUACACAAUCUACUAAUCCGCAAUUCCCGCAGCAACGCGCAGGAUAUGCUCCUAGUUUCUACUCUUUAAAUUAUAAUUCACCUCUGUUACUUGUGCUUGAGACAACCUUCGGGGUUAUUUUGGUCAUAUUUUUUUCUCCAAAAAAUAUAUGAUUGCCUGAUUGGUUAAAUCUUAUAUUUAUAUUACUAUCAAAUGGGCUAUAAUGACGAGCUAACAGCUAAGUAUAACGAAGCCAUGAAAUUACAAAAACUUUGAAUUAUUGAUGAAGCAUAAUUACCAUAAACUGAAUUAUUUCAUGAAUGCAUGCCACAAAUAAUAUGAAUUAUCGUUACUAUAUAGUGUGGCGGUAAUUCAAAUAAUAUGCUUGAUAUUUAUGUAGAUUAUUCGCUACUCUGUGGCCAAGCGAUGACAUCAGGAGGUCCUGUCUGGCCUGUCUGGUAAGCAUCCUGCCAUCCUGGUCACUGGGAAGCAUCACAGAGAAGAAGAGUCAGAUGCAUGGUGAUGAAGCAGGGCAUCUCUUUGUGAAUGCAUAAUUCUGACAUAAGCUAUGAAGCAGAAUAUGUACUGAUUGUUAAUAAUAACAUUCUGGCAACAAGAAUGGCAAUAUUGCCCAUGUAUGGUGACAAGGUGGAUGGAUUAGGAAAAGCAACAUGAAACUUGAUCGUGGCGAUAAAUAAACUCAUCCUACUCUUCUUCUAGAAAAAGAAGGCCAGGAGAAGAGAAAUUAUCAACCAGACGUGAUACGCAAGCUUUGAAAUAGGGUAUGGCAUCUGGUUCUGAGUGGGAAAGAGCACCCAAAGGAGUAACAGUGAUCUGGAAUAAACAAGAUACAUGUCUUAGAAGAUAUGUUGUAUAAGAAAAUGGAAGUCGUAUGGUAGCUAGGUCAUUCUUACGUAUCCAUCAACUAGGGACUUGUAGUCCAUUUCGUCUCCUUCCACUCCAUCGGCACUUCUCCCUACAAUCUGUAUGGAAUUCCAGCAACAAAAACUAUCACCAUGUAUCAACUCACCAUGUUUUAGCAAGCUAGCAUAAAAGAGGAACAACAAAAUGUCCAGAGAUCCACCAUGACAGAGACAAACAGCUAUCAUUUAUGAACAUAGGUAUUCCCCAUUUAUAAAAGUGUGUAAUAUCAAUAUCAAUAUCAAUAUCAAUAAUGCAACACCCAUCUAAAGUUAAUAGAUUAAAAUCAGGCUACAUCAGACCAUUAUGUUGAACAUCAGAAAAGUGAAUAGAAUGAUCAAUUCAAUUCUAAUGUUCUGGGGUAUCUAUCAGAUGUAGUUCAAAUGUGAUUGGCAGAUUGGCAUGAAGUUUGGAAAUGCUAACUUACCACUCUCUUAAACAGUAGGUCAUUUUCUGAAGUAACUAGUUCGCUAUCCUUUUCGCCAUCAACAUCCAUGUUUGCUGUCUGGUAACUUUCUACCGCAGGCUUCUUGUAAACCGUUUGCUCCCAACUAAUUCUGGCCAUAUAUGUUCCUUGUUUUGUAAUUUUGUAGCCCUAUUGACGACAAAUUGAAAAAACAUUUAGAUAUUCAAUUGUUCAUAAACAAAAAACAGGCAUAAGUAUUCUAAAGAUUUUGUAGAGGCAAAAUGCAUUAACAUUGAACAAUAAGUGGAACUCAGCAGAAUAUCAAAAUCUUUGACUCUGACAGGUCCUGGACCAUGCUCCAUAGUUCCUCAAUGUAUUUAGAUUUGCUUCCACUAUAUACAAGUUUUAAAUUUUAAUCCAAAAGUAUAAUUCAGAUCACUGUUGAAGAUUUACCUUGUGGUGUGCAGCAUCUGUUGGUACGUCUACAUUCAAGAAUGAUCCUUGAGGAUAAGUCCCAUUCUUGAUCUCAGUCACGAUAGCAUUUAUCAGAGGCAUGCAGACCUCUGCAGACACCUUGAGCUCAUUAACACUGCUCCGACCCGCAACCCUGUACAAUUGGGAGAUCAAACACAGUUCACUUUUUGCCUGACUGCAUAGAUUCAGCAAAUGGAAGGACAUGGUUGAGUGUUGGUGUAUCCAAAUAUUGAGCAUAUGUCUACACCGAAAUCGACUUUUAGGGUUUUCUUAAAUGAACACUAGUAGGGUUAUAUGAUAUCUGCGGUUCUGAUAUCUACUGAAAUUGCAAAAAAGCCUGUGGUAUUCGUAUAAUCAUAACAUGUUAUUAUUAAAUUUGAUAUGAAACUGGAAUUAGUUCAAUUUCCUGAGAAGAAUAAACAUAAUUAUUCCACAUAAGCACGCAUACAAAAGUUAACAAUCAUUGGUCCAUCCAUUUUCUAGAUCAACCAUUGGCCAAACAACUGGCUUCCCAAAAGGAAAAAGAUAACUAGGCAUCUGGUAUCACCAAAUAUCAAAAGUUACAGUCAUUGGUCAAUCCAUUUUAUAGGUCAACCAUUGGCCAAACAACUGGCUUCCCAAAAGGAAAAAAAGAUAAUUAAGCCGCUGGUAUCACCAGAUAUCAGUCAACUACUUCUAUGGUAGAAGUAGCUGUAUGUUUUAUAUUUUAGAUUAUAUUGUAUCACAGCAUUUGCCAACACUUCAGAGGAUUCAACAGAAAUUGAAAGCACACUACAGAGUAUGUAAUGAUUGUUAACCAUCUUCUUAAACUUUAUGGUCCAUUUUGCUUAAGAGGACUUUAGUCCCAACAUGAUAUACAACAUUAAAUAGCAUAUACUCAAGGAUGAAUGUAACAAUCAUUGAAGCCAGCAUUCUUAUGGUUUAAUCAGCAUUAAAACUGAAGAGCCUAUAUUCAUAUAGAUCAUUCUUCAUUCACAUGAGAUGCACAGCUCUAUAAUAAAGAACAAAAUUUUAUAUAAACAUAUAGAUAUUUUUGUCACCAAAUAACAAGCAGCUGCAGAGUGUGAAGAAAGUGGUUUUAACACUCCAGAUGAAAACACUGAAGAAAAACAUUGCAUACCAAUCAUAUGACAUAGAUAUCGCAGGAAUCCCAUAUAAGAAUGCCUCCCUAGCACCAGCAACUGUUCCAGAAUAAAUGCUGCAGAUUAAAAGCACAAAAACACUCAUAGUCAUUGCUAUAUACAUAUAUUUCUUUCUGAACCUAAAACCAAAGGUGUAUAAUUAGUUGUUACAAUUUCCAACAUAUAAUUUAGAGGACUUCUCAACUCUAGCAAUAUGUUUAAGAUCAUGUCUAUAGCGACAGAGAUACUUACACAUGGUACCCACAAUUGUUUCCAAUGUUGAUUCCACUAAGUACCUGCAUUAAGGAUCAUACAGAAUAGAAUAGGGCUGAAGUAUUAGCCAUGACAGACUAGAGUUAAACAAAGAAACUAUUAGUAAACAGAGUUUAAAUAAAAGUACAGAGUGAAUUUCUGGUGCAUCUAUGAAGAAACCUCAAAACUCACCAGAUCAGGAACCAAACCAUCAAAGAGUUUUCCAGAGAUGCCUAAAGAGGCACAGUCAGCAGGACUUCCUAACAUUGUCAGGAGAAAGCAUCGGCAUCAAGUAAUGCAUUUGAAAUUAGUAUGAUUCCAAAUGACUUAUAUGGGAAAGGCGGAAAGCUCAUACGAAGCAUCGGCGCAUCAAGUAAUGUCUUUGAAAUUAGUAUGAUUCCAAAUGAUUUGUAUGGGAAAGCUCAUAUGCAAUAGGUUGAUGGAAUCAAUGACAAACAAACCUGAAACUCCAAAUGCUGUAGCACCCGUUAUAUCAACACGUUUACAGCGGAGUGCAGCACGCCAUGUGAUGCUGUGGCUCACACCCGAUUUGUCUCUGCAUUUUUAUGAGAAGUAGGACAAAAAUAAAAAUAGUUAGGAAGAGGAUUGCUGCCAUAGGAUGAGCAUGACUCUUGGCCAACUACAACUAAUUAAAGACCAAAGACAGUUUUAAAUUUUCACGUGAAUAAAUAAUAACGCUCAAUUUUCAUUUCAGUUUCCUUCUGAGCAACCAUGUUUAUAAUAAGGUUAAAUGACAAAUCCAUUUCUGUGAAGAAAAAUAUUAACUACAUGGAUUGUAAUUGCAUCUCUUUUCUCCCUUUGGUUUAGGUACACCCAUAUCAUUGCUUUUGCAUCAAACUAGUCCCACAAAGGCACUUUUCGUUGGAAACAAACAGGCAACUUGAAUAGUGCAUUUGCAGCCAAUGGGUUUAAAAAAGAAACUUCAGCUAUGCCCAAAACGCCUCUAAACAUCGCAGGAAAACAGGAUUAAUUGAUAAGUUUGCUUCUCAAGGACAAGCUCGUCUUUCCUGUUCCUUAAUUUGUUUACAGCAAAAUUAGCCCUCACGAAUUCACAUCCAGAAAUGUACCAAAACAAAAUAAUUUAUUUUAUUUCAUUAUUCAAUUUAGAGACUAGGUGCCACUUACUGUAUUUCCAAAUAGAAAUUUGCUAUCCCAAAUUCCUCUUCUUCGCAGAAUGCCAGAAGGGGUAAAAAAAAUUCCCCACAAUUCUAGUUCUUUUCCAAGCCUACUACAUCCUCUCGAGAGAAAUCCCGUGAUCAUUCCACAGAAUCUACGCAAGGCACCGAUCGAACAACCAAGCAAGCAGGAAAUCGCAAGGAAGCGAGAGGGAUCGCGAGGCGAGUGAGGGAGGGAGGGCAGUUACGUGUCGGGCGCGCAGACGAGUACGCGGUACCGCCCCGCGGCGACGAGCUGGUCGACGAGGAAGCGGAGCCCCGGCGCGUCGAUCCCGUCGUCGUUCGUCACCAGCAGCACCGGCGCGGCCGCGGUAGCAGCAGCAGCAGCAGCCGCGGUGGAGUCCAUGCGAGAUGGGACUGCGAGCACGGCACGGGAUGGGGAUGCUUCCGUUUCCGUUUUUCAGGGAGAUGCUUCCGUUUCCGUUGGCGGCCACGCACGGCUCCCGUUCCCGUUCAUGGGCCUGUGCCGUACCGGCGCCGGUUGGGGUUUUUGGCUGGGGAGAUGCUUGCGUUUCGGUGGUUUAGUUCAAAAAAAAUUUGCAAAUAUUCUUCGUCACAUCGAAAUUUAUAGCAUAUGUAUAAAAUAUUAAAUAUAAAUAAAAAAUAACUAAUUAUACUGUUUAUCUAUAAUUUAUGAGACAAAUUUUUUAAGUCUAAUUAGUCUAUGAUUAGAUUAUAUUUGUCAAAUAAAAAUAAAAAUGCUACAGUAUUCAUUUUAUAAAAUUUUAGAACUAAAUAAGGCCUGAGAGUUGCUAGCAAUCGGUUAAACUCAAACUUCAGUUUUGGUUUUAAUAAAUUUUGGUUUUCACGAAACAGGUACUGGGUUGAUUACGGAAUUUAAAAUCAACGCAUUCGGUUUCAAUUUUUAUUUUGGUUUUUCGGUUUAAACCGAAGAACCAACCUGCUCUAUGUUGUGUUGCAUGAGAAGUUCAAAAGCUUCUCAUCCUGUGUUGGUCGCCCUGCUCUAGGAGCCACGAUUGUGCCACAUUCGCCUUGCGCUUCAAUUGCAGCCACUGCGCCCGCUACCUUGCCUUGCACACGCACUGCCGCUGCUGUGAAUGCAGCCCUCGCUCACGUCGUCACCACUCUCUAGGAUAGCUAUAUAGGGUCACGUCGCCACCACUCUCUAGGAUAGCUAGAUAGGGUUAGGGUAUGGAGACGUGGCCGUGUGGACUAGGAUGGAUGUGGAUGCGUGUUGGGCGUAUCUACGUAGGGCCAAGGAUUAGGGGAAUUGGACUUCGGUUGGACGCGCCACCGGCUCUUAGAGUUUGGUUUACAUGGUUUCCUUAGUUUAUUGUGCUUCCAGAAUUGAUAUUUCAAGAAACAAGAACCGAAUCCGAAACCAAAAAACCAAAAACCAAAAAAGUGACAUUUCUGUUCGGUCGGUUCGUGAUUUUCAGUGGAAAAGUGCAUAGCCUAAGCUCCAUCCUAGGGAUGUACGUUCUUGGAAAGCGAACAAUAUAGACAAGAAUCAAAUCAAGAUUUCUAAUUAAUUAGCAAAUUGAACAAAUGGUACAAAAGCCAUGAUGAAAAAUAUUAAGCUCGUGCUUGGCGCUACCUGAAUAAAAAAAAAAGCCAAACAAUAAGCUACUCCUUACACAACGAAGAAUUGAAAAGAUUAAAUAAACUAUUAAUAAGAAAUCCACCUACCUGAUCAUGCUCCGUGCUCGGCGCUCAGCUACGGCCUUGUUUACUUCUAAAUUUUUUUGCAAAAUAGAAAUAGUAUCACUUUCGUUUGUAUUUGACAAAUAUUGUCCCGGACUAACUAGGUUCAAAAGAUUCGUCUUGUCAAUUCCGACCAAACUGUGUAAAUAGUUUUUAUUUUCAUCUAUAUUUAGUACUUCAUGCAUAUGUCUAAAGAUUCAAUGUGAUGGGAAAUCUGAAAAAAAAAUUUGCAAAAUUUUUUGGGAAGGCCACUACAAGCUGCUGCUCGUGAUUAGAGUAGAGUUGAACCACAGCAUAACGAUACGCCUGAUGAUGACGUCUGGGCGGCUCUUUUGCAGCUGUGCACGGAGGACGGCGGCCUCGACCUCGAGUGGCAGGGAUCGCGUCUCUGCAGCACCAUCGAGGUUUUGGGCCCGUGCCCAGCGCCCGGCCCAGCGAGGUUUGGUUGGGCCCGCAUGCACGGUCAGGCUGGGCACCGUUGCGCCUGGGCCGUCCGUUCCGUUGCAGUACAUAUUGGCAACGGCGUUUUGGUUUUUUAAUUAGUCCCACAUCGCUUGCUUAAGCGGAUUACAACAGCGAGUCCUGCCUAUUUGUGAGAGCCCGUGGCGGGGCUUUGGAAGAUCACGCAGCUGCGCAGUGGAUACAGAGCGAACUAAUCUUUCGCCUUUUACUAAAGAUUACCGUGUGUCCGCUGCAAUAAGCAGCAUACGCUAAUUUUUUUGCAGGGUUCCUUCUCCUUGGAAGGAUCCAAACAAAUCCAAAUAAAUUUUGGGAUCCCAACAAAAUCCAAAUAAAAUUUGGAAAGUUCUGUGGUUGGGCUGCCAAACCGUUAGUUUGGACCAAAAGGCCUAGUAGACGCAAAGAGCCCUACGACACCACCUCGGCCUCUCUUCAAAUGUUGUUUGCCUAGGAUUCUUUCGUUUGCAAUGAUAACUUUUGUAAAGAAACUCCAUAUUAUUUCUUUUUUUCAAAAUAAAUAAGAGACUAGUAUGUUCGUUUGAGUUUAUCUGCCGAAUUUACCAGCCAUUCAGCAGUGGCUUUUCAGCCAAGCGAACAGGCCCACGCGUUUGAUAGGGCUUCUUGUCAAUUUCACAACCAAAUGCGAGUCAGUACAUCCGAGAAGAGGGGAGGGAGUAGAAGCUAAAACAUAUAGCUUGCUCUAGCUUGGCCUUAUGUAGGUGGGUUCCAAUAGGGCUAUGGGCAGAUUUUCCCCUACUGACGCUGAAUCUAGCGUGGGGGUGGAGUGGCCGGAUUGCAAGGCUAGUGCUAGGGCGAGAGGUGGUGACAUGAGAGAUUGCUAGCAUAGGAGUGGGCCUCUAAGGAUGAGGUGAGGGCGGGGCCAAGGAUCAUCAAUUCGCCAUCACAUCGAUGCCAAGGGCUAGGAGUCACCGUCACAUCGAGGCUGGGGCGGGUUGUUGUCACGCUGAGGCUAGGAUGGUCACCGUCGCACCGAGGCAGACCGCUGAGGAUGGGGCAGAAACGCGUCGUCGGGGUGGAGUUUGUUUUAUUUACAUUGUGGAGGUUCAUUUGGGCAACAGCGCCAGCGGCUGCGUGAGCAAAUAAGGGAAGGGAAGACGAGGAAAAGAAAAAAAAGAAAGAGGGUAAUAUGGGUAUUCACUCUUUCUAUCAGUUCAGAGAAGUUGUUUUACUAAGGCCUUGUUUAGUCGUGAAAAGUUUUUGGAUUUUGACACUAUAGCACUUUCGUUUGUAUUUGACAAUUAUUGUCCAACUAUAGACUAAUUAGGCUCAAAAGAUUUGUCUCGUAAAUUACAGAUAAACUAUGUAAUUAGUUUUUGUUUUCGUCUAUAUUUAGUGCUUCAUACAUGUACUAUAAAAUUUGAUGUGACGAGAAAUCUUCAAAAGUUUUUGAAUUUGGGGUGAACUAAACAAGGCCUAAAUGGUUCACCCACAACAAAUUCAACUUCACCUGUAGAGCUGCUUUUACAAACCAAACUAACAAAACCUAAUUUAUCAGUGAAGCUAAGCUAAACGAACCCUCUAUUAUGUAUCAUAUGACGUGGCAUUAUCUGAUAUCUCUGUAUUUUGUAAGGGCCUAGCUAAAACGUAAUGGUCUACCGUCCGUGGGCCUCUUUGUUAGCACAGCCUAGUGACGUUUUAGAUUCUCCAAUUUAUCUUCCGAACCAAAAUCCCUCUUUUAGUCGUGGCCAUUUUUUAUUAAAAAAAUAUUGUGUAGUGAUGUUGAUAUACGUACUUUUGUUAACAUGCCUCUAUUAGCUAGAUCAUGACCCUAUACUAUAUAAACAAGGCACUAGUUAUUGCUUGCCAAUAUUUCAUAUUCGUAUGCUCCAAAUAUAAACCUAUAUGCAAAUAUAAAACUCGAUUGCCACGCCCACGCAAGUCAAAUAGCCAGGGGUACUUAGACAUUUGUUCUCUCUUAGCCAUUCAUGACAAGACGAGAAAUUAUUUAGCAAACUUUUUUUUUUCAAAAUAGCUUCAGCUCUAUCACGGAAGCUACAAUUAAUUCAAACUGCUUUGGUUAUAGCUAGAGCUCUACUAAACACGCCGUAUAUGUUACACUAUUGCAUUCUUUCUAGUGGAAAUCACUUUUCACUGUGAUGCCUAUAUAUAUAUAGAGAUCAUAAACACCCGCAUUCUUUCUAGUGGAAACCACUUUUCACUGUGAUGCCUAUAUAUAGAGAGAUCAUAAACACCCUUUUUUUUAAUAAUACGGGAAGGUUGUGAUACUACAGAGUAUAAUGAUGAUUAUUCUUUUUUCGUAUGAAAAUUGUGAUUGUUGGGUUUCCUAGUGGAAGGGAUGUUGGGCGUGGAAAAGCUAAAGAUGCCGACCAUGGUGCUUCACCCACAACCGCGGAGGUAGACGAUAAGGAGCACUACCGCCCAAAACUCUAUGAACUGCCAGGUCGUUUCUUUAUUCAUCUUCAAUCUUCUACGGCCACACGGAGGGGUUUCCCCAAUAAGUAAAGGUCCCCCGUUUUGCAGCUCUAAAACAUUAUAACAGAUUAACAGGUGCUAGUGAAAUAUAUUUUGAUUUAUUCACCGUACGACUAUACAUUUCAGUUACAUAUAUGCACGCUCACUUAUAUCGAAGCAAGCACUAUCUCAUUAUUUAUUAUAGGAUCGGAUAAGCUAGCAUAAUUUAAGAUUGAUGAAGUUAUCACAAAAAAAUGUUAUCAAUUUGUCAUAUUGCUACAGUAAAAACAAUCUAAGCUGGGGUGAACAAACAUGCGGUUAGUUUACGGGCCAUUUGUGAGUUUUGAUUUGUGGUGUAAGCAAAAGAUUUUGUGUGUGUUAUUUUAGAGAUUAAUUUAAUAUCACACGUUAUCUAACAUAAAACAUACUUUUAGAAAAUGCUAAAGUUGCGUGCUUUGAAUAUAUUCUACAUGUAUAAUGCAUGAUCUCUUGAGACAACACAUUUUCUAGUGCAAACUCAUCAUCUAUUGCUUGCUUAGGAUAUGAGUACAUAUGCACUGCCCUUGCAUCUAUUGGUAUGAAUUCUCUUUUGAAUAUUUAUCUUAUACACUUUCGACUCCAAAUUUAAGUUCUUCUAAACUUUUUAAAAUACAUAGCUUUUACUAUGUUUGUAGACAUAACACAUACUCCCUCCAUACCCGUAUUACAUGUAGUUUAGGUGACCCUUCUGAUUUCAUAAAGGUUGACGUUGAGCGUGUAAACACCUGCACAUGGACGCGUUUGCCCCUGACCAACUUUUUGUUGGUGCAUGCACAGGGCUAGCUCCGCUCGACAUGCAAUUAAUCUCGGCCGCCCGGCCGCCCGUCGUGCUAGCGUCAAGGCACACUAAUUGCUUACAACACUCGCCUCCAGCAAAACCAAGCCCCACUCAAAACAAAUAGAGGCACACUAACUGCUUACAACACUCGCCUCCAGCAAAACCAAGCCCCACUCAAAACAAAUAAGUGGCUAUCGGGAAUCGAACGUAGCUUGCGAGAGUCAAGCUUCGAUACACUAACCAUCCGAGUGAAGAAAUUUCUUGUAUAAAGUGCACCCGCACCUCUAUUUAAUAAGGGCAAGGAUGGAAAGAUAACCCUUAAUUAAUCACUCCUUGGUAAGCACAAUCCUGUCCAAAAUGUCAACUAAUAUAGGUAUAGAGGGAGUAUCUAAUAGUAGCACUAGCACAUAAAAAAAGAUAUAUAAAAAAGAUAGAACAACUUACAAUUUGAAACCGAUAGAGUACAUAACAGCUUGAUAACUAUCCUAAUGACCUAUAAUAACAUUUGCGAUGAAACUCUUUUGACCUCUCUGGUACAACUUACAUGUUGUUUAUGACAAAAAAAAAAGAAAAAGCUAAAACAAGAAGCCAAACUACAUUUUUUUUGCCAUGGUUUUCCUAAAAUGCAUAAACCAAGUCCGGCUUAUCUUAACUACACUAUUCCUUUAUCCGUGCAGUUUUUCAAAACAAAAAGAACUUCUCUCCGUAGUCGCUGCUGUGCCAAAGAGACCCAAUAUUGGUAGGCACAAAAGAAAGUGCCGUUGUAGGAGUACAAAAUAAUGGGCAUGCCGUUGUGCACGUAGCAGAAAUGGUCUACGGCCGGGAGUGCCGUUUGCCUGCUUGCAACGAUGUGUAUUGUAUUGUAUUGUAUUCACCCAUUGGUGCGGCCUGGUGUUGCCACGACGCCAGCGACAAAUCCCUGCGCGACGGCAUCUUCGUCCCCCAUCCCCUUCCAGCUUCCCUCCUCCCAACUCCGCCACUCCGGCCCUCACACAAAUUUGUCCCGUCCCGACCACCGCUGCUGCCGCCACCCAUUCCCACCACCACCGCCCCACCGCUGCCGAGUGCUAGCCAUUCGGAGCAGCUUCGCCAUGGCCUCCGUGGCCGCCGCCGCCGCCGCCGCCACGCUGGCCCCGGCACUCGCGUGCCGGCGCCGGGCGCGGCCGGGGACGGGCCUGCUGCCGCCGCGCCGCGCCGCGCCCGCGCCCGUCCGCUGCUCGCUCGACAGCAACGUCUCCGACAUGGGCGUCAACGGUGAGGCAACGGGAUCCUUCCUACUCUUGAUUUGGUCCGUCGUAAUCUUCCCUCCUCUGCUCUCCUGGGACGAGGAACUGUCAAUCCUUGUGCAAUCCCCAACACUGUAGUUCCAGUGCCCCCCCUUCGGCUGUAAAAAGUUCGUCUUUUUGGGUGCCACAAGUCAAACUCUAUGCUUAAUUGACUUUGCCUAUCGAUAUAAUUAGAUUUUUUUUCCUUCUGAAAAGUUGUUUCAUGAUAUUACAAUUAUGCAGUGACUUUUAUAAAUAUGUUAUACUAGCAGAAAACAGUUAUCAAAGUUCUGUCAGAAAUGUUUUCUUUUGUGACCAAGGGUUUAGAGUCUGGGUAGAUUGCUCCAAAUUUCUAUGUUUGUCCUGUCAGUUCUGUUUCAUUUAGAGAACUUUUGGUUGAAAUGCCAUACUGGCUGCAAACGAAAAUGCUGAAACAAGAACUGUUUCCAUGUGUGGCAGCUCCCAAAGGGUUAUUCCCACCCGAGCCGGAGCACUACAGGGGGCCGAAGCUCAAGGUGGCCAUUAUAGGGGCGGGCCUCGCCGGCAUGUCCACCGCUGUUGAGCUCUUGGACCAGGGCCAUGAGGUUAGCAGAUUUGUUGUCUUCAGCAGAGCUAAAUGUUUUCUUAUGCAGGAAAAUCAUUGCUUUCUAAUAAUCUUACUUCUUUCUAAUCACCCUGGUUGGGCUGGGUAUGGUUUGUCCGGCUUACAGGUUGAUUUGUACGAGUCCCGCCCGUUUAUUGGUGGUAAGGUUGGCUCCUUCGUUGAUAAACAAGGAAACCAUAUCGAGAUGGGGCUGCAUGUGUUCUUCGGGUGUUACAGCAAUCUCUUCCGCCUCAUGAAGAAGGUACAAGCCCUUGUACAUUAAGCUCACUGGAAGUAUACUGAAAUUCUUCCUUACUUAGAUAUCAACAUGGUUAGUAUAAAUUAUGUCAUGACAACUCUGAAUUAGUUUUAAUCCAAGAAAUUUUUGAAUUGGAUGUCUUUGGACCUCCUGGAGUGAAGUAAACUUACAGUGAGAAACAUGUUAGCCAAUUUGUCCAUAUGAACCAAAAUACCAAACAAUUUGGUGCCUUGUUGAGCAUGGUAUUACUGAUUUAACAGCGAUAAAUUAAACCUUGUUGAUUUUCAGGUUGGCGCUGAUAAUAAUCUGCUGGUGAAGGAACACACCCAUACUUUUGUAAAUAAAGGGGGCGUGAUUGGUGGUAGGUUCAACUACCCUAUACACAUCCAUUUUUUGUGUAGCAAUUCUCUUAUGCUGGAAUAUUUAAGUUAUUUAUUUGUUAUUACUUCUGGAGUUCUGUACCCAUCAUAGAGUAGAAAAGUGCAGAACUUCCAAUGUGUUGAAUAUUAAUUACUAGUAUUCAAGUUGACUAUGUGCAAGUACUAUAUUGUUGUUGCAUAUCGUUUUAAGGGAUUCAUUUGUAUUUUCUGAGAAACAAGAAUGCUUAUGCUGCCUGCAGUGGUGAACUAUUUACUUAGUCCUGCAUAAUAUUCAUCUUCAAUUAAGACAGCAGUUACAUGACGUUGUGUGCCACAUUGCUUACUUUGGAAGUUGGCUGAAAUAGCUGUAUCAUACUUCUUUGUAUAUUUUUGUAACGUAUUUAUGUAAAUUUUCAUAUUGUUUGUGCUGCUAUACAGAACUUGAUUUUCGGUUCCCGGUGGGAGCUCCAUUACAUGGCAUUCAAGCAUUCCUAAGAACUAAUCAGCUCAAGGUAAACUCAUAAUUUAGUACUACUAUAAUUCUAAAGGAGAAUCUCAACUCAUGACAUUAUUUUAGCCUUCAGUUUGUUUAUGAGCUUUGUUCAAUUCCACACUUCCCAAUAUGACAAUACUUCAAGAAAUAUGGUUUAGUGUGUACCUUAUAUUUAGGUAUACGUCUUUUCUUAAAAUCUAAAUUGCAAACCUUUGCUUCUAAGUUCUUUCCUUUAGACAUUACUGCAAUUCCCUUUCCCUUUAAUAUGUGUGACCGAAUGGAUAAUCUUUUGUGGGAAAACUAAUCAGUGUAAAAAAUUCUGGGCUCGAAAUAAAGGUUGAAGUCUUGUCAUUCGUCAAUAUCUUUAAUUAACCACGUGUUACUUGAGAACAUAAUUACAUGUGUUAAUCUUUAAUAUUUAAAUUAUUUUGCAGGUUUAUGAUAAAGCAAGAAAUGCAGUUGCUCUUGCCCUUAGCCCAGUUGUUCGGGCUCUGGUUGAUCCGGAUGGUGCAUUGCAGCAAGUGCGGGACUUGGAUGAUGUAAGUAUCCCUUGCUUUUAUUUCAGAUUCAUUAGGAGUGUGCAUCUAGGGCAUUCUUUUGCAGUAGUCAGUAUCUUUUCCAAGUGCUUUCAUUCUAACUCACUGAUAACUAAACUUUUUGUCAUUUUUUUUCUCAAACACUUGUCAAUUUAAAUCUAACCUAUUUCAGGUAAGUUUCAGUGAUUGGUUCAUGUCCAAAGGUGGUACUCGGGAGAGCAUCACAAGAAUGUGGGAUCCUGUUGCUUACGCUUUGGGUUUCAUUGACUGUGAUAAUAUCAGUGCACGUUGCAUGCUUACUAUUUUCACCUUGUUUGCCACAAAGACAGAGGCAUCCCUGUUACGCAUGCUAAAGGGUUCACCUGAUGUUUACUUAAGUGGCCCAAUAAAGAAGUAUAUAACAGACAGGGGUGGUAGGUAUGGUUUCACAGACAAAGUUUUUCUUGUGAAAUUUCUAUGUACUGCUGCAGACUUGAAGACUUACAUCAUAUGACAAAUCCUUCAGGUUUCACCUAAGGUGGGGAUGCAGAGAGGUUCUCUAUGAGAAAUCACCUGAUGGACUGACCUAUGUUAAAGGCCUUCUCCUCACCAAGGCAAGCUUUCUUAUCAGUGUAUCACUGCUCUCUUUUGCACGAUUAUGUAGCCUUUAUUACUAAAAUUACACUCGUUUGGACAUUUUUAGGCUACAAGUAGAGAGAUAAUCAAAGCCGAUGCAUAUGUUGCAGGUUCUUUUUCUUGUUUGUCUUCUGUUUCUUCUUUUACUAGCAUGUCCAACCAUACAAACCUAACUUGGUGCUUCUAACUUCACAGCCUGUGAUGUUCCGGGUAUCAAAAGACUACUUCCAUCAGAAUGGAGGGAAUGGGAAAUGUUUGACAAUAUCUACAAGUUAGAUGGUGUCCCUGUUGUCACUGUUCAGCUUCGCUACAAUGGAUGGGUCACUGAACUUCAAGAUUUGGAGAAAUCAAGGUAGCUGAAGUAUCCAGUAUUUUUUUUUUACAACUUUGGUACUUAUUUGGUUAGAUCUGACAAAUUUAAAUGCACGGCACCCAUAAUUUAAGCUUAAAUGAAGAUUACUUAUGUUUGUGCAAAAAGAUUUUUGUUCAAAUGCAAAUUACAUUCUGCCAUGCAUGCUCAUUGAUAUUUAUUCUUAUAUUUGAUGAAGACAACUGCAAAGGGCGGUUGGGUUGGACAACCUUUUGUACACGGCGGAUGCAGACUUUUCCUGUUUUUCAGACCUUGCUCUCUCAUCUCCUGCUGAUUACUACAUUGAAGGACAAGGUUCCCUGAUCCAGUAAGUUACUUUUUUUUAAUUAUCAAAUUGAUUUCUCGCUCUGCAAAUGUAUUCACCUUCCGCGCUUAAUUCAUCUGCAGAGCUGUGCUGACUCCUGGCGAUCCAUACAUGCCAUUGCCAAAUGAGGAGAUCAUUAGUAAAGUUCAAAAGCAGGUAGGUUUGUAAAUAGCUUCUGUUUUGGUCAAAUUUCUGCUAUUCCCUUUACACAUAACUAAGCAAAGACCUCAUUUAAAAAGCACUUAAAAAAAGAGAGAUUUCUUCUGCUCAUAUUAUUUUAUAUUCUUCGAAAACUCAGCUCAGUAACAAAAUGUAUGUAAUUUUCCCACAGGUUGUAGAAUUGUUCCCAUCUUCCCGGGGCUUGGAAGUUACAUGGUCCAGUGUGGUAAAGAUUGGACAAUCGUUGUACCGCGAGGCUCCUGGAAGUGAUCCAUUCAGACCUGAUCAGAAGACGCCUGUUAAAAACUUCUUCCUCUCCGGAUCUUACACAAAACAGGUAUUGUACAUCCAAACAUUGAGCUAGUUUCAGCCAUCAACAGAAAUCAGUGGCUCAGAAAACCAUCAGAUAAUGUUUGAAGUUGAACACCUUGGAUUUAUUUUAAUCGAUGGCUCAGAAAUAACCAUUUCAAUAUUAUGUUGUCUGAACACCUUAGAUCUUUUUUUCUACUACUACAGAGUAGGUUGCAACAUGUAAACAUCUCUAGGACAUGGUAAAUGAAGCAUAAAUUGAUGAUCUUAAUUGUGCUGCACAGGACUACAUUGACAGCAUGGAAGGAGCAACUCUCUCUGGCAGGCGAACAGCUGCCUACAUCUGCGGCGCCGGAGAGGAGCUGCUGGCCCUCCGAAAAAAGCUAGUCAUCGACGACAGCGAGAAGGCGCUGGGGAACGUCCAAGUCCUGCAGACUAGCUGAACAACCACCCCCUGCAGACAAGUUUAACCUUUCCAACCACACAUGCUGGAAUGGCCAAAUCAUGUCUUUUCUCGCUUCAGGGUGCUGGCGAUUCCCGCAGCGACCUCCUGUAUAUCCAAUUUGAGCAUUAGAUCUGUCCCCCUGCAGGCGUUUCCUAUCCCUGAAUUCGAAAAGCAGGGUGUCUAGGUGGCAUACGGGAUUACAUCAGGCAGUGUGUAAGUUGUUGAGCUGGAACUCGAUUGGUCAUUGGGACGAUUGAUUGGUGAUAUGAUACAUACAUAGCGCACACUGUUCUUGCGUCUUGCAAAGAAAUAUAGCAAGCGAUGAUCCGGGGUCAAUUGCCGGAACAUUUUACCAGUGAUCUUAAUUCAGUUUGUUUAUGUGGUUUUUUACAGUAUACAAACAUCAUAUUAUCAGCUCGAGCUAUCCUCCCCUAAAAAAAAAAAAGCUUGAGCUAUCCUGCUAAGGCCUUGUUAGUUCCAAAAUUUUCUGCAAAAUGAACACUAUAACACUUUCGUUUGCAUUUGAUAAAUAUUAUCUAAUCACGGAUUAACUAGGCUUAAAUAUUCGUCUCAUAAAUUACGUGUAAACUGUACAAUCAGUUUUUUUUAUUUAUAUUUAAUGCUUUAUGCAUGUGCCGUAAGAUCCGAUGUAACGGAAAAUUUGAAAAAUUUAGCAAAAUUCUUUGAGAACUAAACAAGGCCUAACUUUGUUUCGUAUAUGAAUAUAUAUUUCGGUUCUCGUUAGGCCAUGCGCAUUUGAAAUAUGGUUUAUGGAAAGCCGGCCGGCCGGUCGCUGCGCUGGAAACCGAAAGUCCGAAACCGGUCAGUUUCCGGCGUUGGCCUCCGCCGUCGACGAGUGGAGGCAGUGAGUGACAGUGGGCAGUCGGAGCGUGUCCCUCUGGAGGCCUCACGACCUGCUGGCUUCUGACGGCCGCAAGCUCCUGCGGUCCGUGUGGUUUCCCUGAGCAAGAGCGAACAGCAGUUGCCGGCUGAUGGCGCCAGCGGCAGCCGUCGGACCGUCCCUGGCCCGGCCAUCGAGCAGCCACCCGCGGCGCGCCGGCAGCGUCCUCCUCCGGCCCGUCUCCGUGCAGCAUGUCUUGCUUCAGGGGCGGAGGCGUCGCCACCGGCGCCUGACGGGCGUCGUCCCCGUCCGUGCCGCGCCGGACGCGCCGCCGGUGGUCAGGGCGGCCGUCAGCGCCGUCACCGAGCUCCUCAGAGCCCUUUCCCCAAACAAGAACCUCAGGUAGCCUCUCACUCAUCAAAGAUUCAAGCCCAUCAUCCGCUCUGGAAUUUGGAUUCUGUGAGGCGCUCGCUCUUGGCUUGGCUGUGCAGGGAUGCUGCCGCCCAGCAGCAGGGGGAGGAGCCGGAUUCGAGUCCGCCGCGUUGCGGCAGCGUCGAGGACGUGCUCGCCGUGCUCCAAGACGAUUACCGGCGCGCCUACUUCCUCACCGGUACGGCCUUCUUGCACCUUCGUUCUUCCAUCAGGGAUUGUUUGGAUCAUGGGCAUGGCGGCUGCUAGAUUGCGGAGCUGCUGAACUUGACACUGACAGAACUGUGACAUUGAUGCAUGCGUGCGCCACUCAGCAUGACACGGAUUGUUCAAAGAAAAUGGUAACCAACUCCUCUAGGAUUAAUUGCAGGGGAUUUCACUCCGGGCAUAUACACUGCAGACUGCUUGUUUGAGGAUCCGACGAUAAAGUUCCGCGGUGUGUAAUAUAACGUUUCUCUUUGCUGAUGAACAUAGUUGGGUUACUUGUACUAUCUGAAAAAGAAGAGGUGAGAAAUCUGUGACAAGGAGUGUGUUCUUGCUCCUCGUGUAGGACUUUCUAGGUACUCUCAGAAUCUGUACCUGCUAGUGCCGUUCUUCGACAGCCCUUCGCUUGAACUGGAGAGCAUUGAGAAGGUAGCCACUCCAUUUGUUGACUGGAACUGGAAUCAGUGAUUGUUUGCAGUAAUCUCCUAGCUGAAUCGAACAUAUUUAGUCAAUACUGUUAUCCGAGAAAAAAAAAGAGGAGAGUAUGAGCAUAUGAUACAUACUGAAAUGGCCCUUUCAUAUCUCGCAGGGUUUGAGGGUUGAAACAAAGUUCGUCAAAGCAACAUGGAAACUAAGGUGCUUCAAAAGAUAUAAUACUGUUUCUAAAUAGUGUACCUAAAUAGAGUAGAGUUGUCUUUUCAGGACAUAUUUGAGGCUUCCAUGGAGGCCCCUGAUUGCGAUCAGAGGGAACACAACCUAUGAUCUGAAUGAAGAUUUCAAGGUAGCAGCCGGGGAAAUCAAAAUUGUGUAAAAUUAUAUACCUCUGUUUACGUUUGAUGGGAUUUUGAAAUACUCCUGUAUUUGGACCGUAUUUGUUCAGGUGAUUCGGCACUCUGAGAGCUGGGACGUCUCUGCGGUUGAGGCCAUCGCUCAGAUCUUCGUUUCGGCCCCGGAGCAGCUGGAAGGCAGCUGAGGCUGAAGCACCACGCAUGCAUGAUCAGAAUUCAGAAAUACAGUAGUAUGCAGCGUCAGAGAUGAGCAAAUGUCCAAAGCCGCUGUCAAAGCUCUGCUUUUCAGAAAUCAACCAGCAAUGUUGAAUUUGUCUUUUCUGUGCAAAUAAAUCGUAUAGUUAUUUGAUUCGACCGGUGAGAGCAAGGGUUGUACAGGAAGGGAGUUGGUGACCAACACAUGGGCGCCAUUUGAUUUCAGUAUCCAUUUGAACAGUCUGGGCAAAAUGUUUGAAAUUUACGCGAAAUCAUAGAUCAGAUCAGCUAGUUGGAUAUAUAUAUAUAUGGAACCUGUUCUUAGUCCCUGACUUAACACAGGUGCUCGUAUUUUUCUAGAUUUAUUUGAGGAUUUAACGGUGCUAUGCUUUCAGUGAUAGGAGACAUGCCCGUCGACAGCGAGACACUUGUAGUGACUUUGUCCAUCAAGAAAUUUGUCAGUUUAACUUAGUUCUUCAGAGAUGCUCAUAGAAUGCGUAUGUUCAAAGAGGUAAGUAUGCGCUUGUGUAUAUGAGAGUCUACGUCUAUAAUUGGCUCUCGCAAAAAAAAAAGUUUGAAAUUUACAGGAUUUAAUUAUUUGGUCUGGGUUAUGACAUGAACUCCUAUGUUCUGGGUACAAAAAAUUUAAAUCUAACCAUCUAUGAAAUUUAUUUAUAAAUAAAAAAACUGAAUCUUCUAUUACAAGCAAAAAUCAUCUUAUUUGCUUAAACUUAUCAGUCAAGAGUCACACUUUUCUGUGCUUACCAAAAUGGGCCGGACGGCCUGGCCCAGUGGCCCUGGCCCGUCUUGUGCCCAUGCCCAUCCUCCUGAAGCUUCUCCGGCCUUCUCCGUCCCCGGAAUCCCCAUCCCCACUCCCCGCCGAGCACCAAAACAGUUUGGCAGGACGCCCGCCGAGCGGCGAGCCGCCGAACAUCACAAGCACACACGAGUGACGAGGCCGCCAACCUUCCAGAAGCUUCGCCAAAGAUGCUCUCCAAGCUGUCGGCGUGGUUCUUGAACCCGCGCCGGAACCCGCUCGCGCGACUCCACCGGAACGCCAUCGCUUCCCGCCUCCGCAAAUACGGUCCGUUCCCUCAAUCCCGGCCUCCUCUUCCCCGCGCCCACUAGGUGCCUAGGGUUCCGUGCCAAUCCAGCCAGUCGGCCGCGGCUCCCCCAGCUAGAGAGGUUCGCCGGCGGUCCUGAUCGGUUUCCUUGCUGUCGUCGUCGGUGCACAGGGCUCCGGUACGACGACCUGUACGACCCGUACCAUGACCUGGACAUCAAGGAGGCGCUGGCGCGGCUGCCGCGGGAGGUGGUGGACGCACGCAACCAGCGACUCAAGCGCGCCAUGGACCUCUCCAUGAAGCACAAGUACCUACCCGACGACGUCCAGGUCAGGACAGGAGUCGUGCUUGUUCCUCCCUCUGUAAUAUGUGUCAUGCAAUUGGGGAAGAAAGCGAUUUUAGUUUUAGAUAAUUUCAUUUGGGUUGGGUGGUGGUUCGUCUCAGUUGCCAUUUUGAGUUUAGGUGGAUUCCUAGGAAUUGGAUGCACGAUAAUUGAGUUGUAUGAUCGACUUAGGUGCUUCUGAAGUUGAGAAAAAUGGAAGAGAAUAAACUGCCUAGUCGAACCUAGUUAUCAGCUGACUAACCGCGAUUACUCAUCGAUCAGGUCCGAUUAGUAGGUGGCUAGUCGGCGAUCUAGUAGUAUAUUCGUCCUCUCUACUUUCCCUGCUACCUAUGAUGUAUAAAGUUUAACUGUAUAAGUUUUAAAUAGUUAAAGCUCUAGUAAGCAGUGAAGUACUAGUACUAAACUAUAGAACCAGUGCACAAGUGUGCACUGCAUAAUGACAUUAUUAUGAUAAAUUAGUAAAAAAAGUAAGCAUCAAGCAUGGUUGCUUACUUGUUGGCCACAAACAGAAAGCCCAAUGCCCGAGUACCCCCAAGCUAGCAGACCAGCUCACAAUUUUAUCUCCAGUCUAAUUGUUUGUCCCGGACAACUAAUUGUGAUUAGUCGUCCAAUCAAAUUUCUGAACACACUAGUUGCUUUGGAGCGCCUAAUUGAGGUCCAUGGAUCAAAUAAGCUCAAUUAAUCUCAAUUAGUCAGAUGAGUAGAUGACUUAAUAACACCUGAAGGACAGAGCCUGUUUGGUUGGGUGGCUAACUCCUAACAAGGCUUCACAGAGCCACCUUCCAAUUGUUGGUGAUGUGUCACCUCUGUUUUGCCACCCCCCUGUUGGCUUUUUAGUCCUUUUUCAGUAUGUCUUUUUGCAGUUUAUGGUGGUGAUUUUAUUUUGGUGGAUUGUCACGUUGAUUAGAUGUACUUUCAAGCGAGGGGUUUGAGUCAUGAAUGGUAUAACAGCUGAUUAUCAUUGGUAAACAAGGUGGUUCCUAAACAUCGCUUUAGAUGCUUGUGAAAUGGAAAAGGUGGCAAAUUUAUCUAUAGGUGAUGUGGGUGUGGUUUUCUGCUUGUGACGUGUGUUGUUAUAUUUAUUUCAAUGUCUGUUUUGCUGUGACAAGUAUACAAGGACUGUGUUUUUCUCUGUUAUUUUUUAUGAGAUAGUGAUGAUUUAUUCGAAGCAGUUAGAUAUAUAUUAUAUAACUCGUUUAAGUGGCCAAAUUCAUCUGAAAUCCACCUAUGCCUAUUGUUUAGAUACUGCUAUUUGGUUCUAUUUUGAUUAUCUGACAAGCAUAAAUUUAAAAUGGGCACUGAUUUGUCAGCCCCCACGAGAAUUGCUAUGACACUUCUAGAAUCCAUUGAGACAUAAAUGUAUGCAUCAAAUUUAUUGGCACCUUGAUUGCUUUUGACAGGCUAUACAGACGCCAUUCAGGAGCUACCUUUCUGACAUGCUUGCUCUUGUGAGUGCAUUUCUUUCUCCUUAUCAUUCCGUUUCUUCCUAGAUUCAGUUAAUAACUUGACUAUCUGUUAAAGCUUUACAUAACUUACUUUACAAGCGUAGUUCUACAAAAGUAGAACUUGGGUGAAGUAUUAUUACAAACCAUCGUUAUAGGAGCAAACUUAACAAUAUUACAAAGUUUACAACUUAAAGACCCAGCCACGGGUCACUCUCAUUCCUCAUCGUCGUCAACCUCAACGACGGUCAUGCAACAGGGUCCGAAGCAAGUCGGCUCCUGUGCCUCACCUGCAACAGGGGUUAAAGAACCCUGAGUACGGGAGUACUCAACAAGUCUUACCCGACAUAAAAGAGAAGAACCUUAGGAAUGCAGGUUUAGGAUAGAUAAAGGGUGGCUAAGCAAGGAACCAAGUUGUUUUACAUAAAAGCUUACUAAUAGUGGAUCCUUACUUUCAAAGUUUUAGCCUCCAACAUACCACCUCGAGAGGCGGACGAAUUCGAGGAUAGUCUAUCUAAGUUGUUUUUCACGGACGAGUCCGUGAAUCACUAAUCCCUAACAAGAAUAAUAUUUUUUCGACGGACAUAGUUUCUUGUCGCCAUGAGUCCGGGAAUUGGGAUCCAAACUCCAUGAGACAUUUCCAUCCUUUCCAUUUCUUAAUUUAGUUGCAUUAUUAACUACGAUGAGGGUCGAAGGAUUGAGUCUCCCAAUCGGGGAGCAACGACGAUUCGAACCGCUUAACAAUUCAGCUAGAGUUCCUUACCACCUGACAUAUGUAGGACCGAAUCUUGCAUAUGUCAACCCAAAUCCCACUUUCCCAAGAUCUGACCGGGUUCGCGGCAUCCGAGAGCAUAGUACUCCACCGUCCAGCCCAUUUGCUAGAAGGGUACAUGCUACUCUUGUCAUCGCUCCAUGCCCAGUGCGUGAGUAGCCACUCUCGUCGAGGAAUCACCAAGACAGGGCUUACCAGGGUAGGUGGCCAGUACUAUAAGGCCUUGUUUAGUUCAAAAAAUUUUCAGAUUCUCCAUCACAUCGAAUCUUUUGGCACAUGUAUGGAGCACUAAAUAUAGAUUAAAAAAUAAUUAAUUGCAUAGUUUAUCUGUAAUUUGCGAGACGAAUCUUUUGAGCUAGUUAGUCCAUGAUUGGACAAUAAUUACCAAAUACAAACAAAAUCCAAAACCAAAAAUUUUCAUGAAUUGAACAAGGCCUAAGUCUCAACCCAGCAGGCCAUCAACGGACCAGUCCUUAACCGACACAGUUGGAGACACUACUUUAGGACUCCAUUCCUAAAGCAAGUCCACCGAGUGGUCUCGAGUUGAGACAUCAUUAACCAUAAAAAUAUUCCACAACAACCCUUUAAACUUUCUUAUUUGAAAACCUAUCUAAUAAGCAGGGCUAAGCAUCAGUACGCUGUUUUAAAUAAAACAGGUACCAAAGAUAAGAUAACAAAUAGCAAGGUUGUAGUGCAACAAUUAGGUUAAACCCAAUUCCUGAAUACGUAAUGGAACAUUUUUAACUCAUAAGUGAUAAAAGGUUUAAAAUAUUCAAGGAGGAGUUAAUGCAUCCGGGGCUUGCCUUGGUUGCAGAGGUGAGUGGUUCCCUCGGAGACUUCCCAAGUCUUGGUUUUAACUUCCUCGGACGGAGCACCAACCUCGGGGUUCGAUCCAACGGUCACACUUUCGGACAUGUGCACUAUACGCAAAAAUGAUGUAUGCUCAUGAUAUGCUUAUGACAAACAUAUGAGAAGGAUUUAGUUGAGUACAAUUUUCCUUCUCAGUACAAAUGCAAGUUAAAACAGUAAUUAAAGAUUGUUUACCUCUUUAGUAUUUUUACCUAAGAGGUUGCAACAAUAAUCUAAGAGUUUUCUUAAUUUACAAUUAUUCUUAAAUAAAUUACUCAUUAAUUUAUUUUAUUUUAAUUAAUUCUUAAUUAAGCAUAAAUAAUAGUAAUUAAGCACUAAUAUCAAACAAUAAUUAAAUGCCCAACAUCAUUAAGGUUAAUGACCCUAGGUCAUCACACAACCCCAAAAUCACUCAAAUCCUAAUCUGGAAUUUAAGCUAAUUAUUAUCUAAUUAUUCUAGGAUUAUUAUUUAAUUACUAAUUAAGAGUAUAUUAAUAUUUAAUCAAAUUCUAUCAAAAGCCACCAAACUUUUUGUGAAGACACGGAAUAACAUACUUCACAAAUUUUGGUGAUUUUUCGAUACUUCCUAAAAAAUAUGGAAGUUCUAUUUAUUAAAUAAAAGACAUAAUUUUAAAACAUGCUUAACAUAUCAGAAAGUGAUAUCUAGUAUUUUUCCAAUGCUCUACUCACUGCAAAAAUUUUCAUCAUUUUUGAUCUGCACAUAUUUUUUUACGCAAAAUCAAUCAUAAAUCAAUUUUUUUAAAAAAGAAAAAAAAAUCAGCACUGUUGCCAAGGCCGGCCCAGCAACUCGGCCCGCUUACCGAGCACUGUAGCCCGUGACGUGUUCCCCCCCUUGCCGAGCACUGUAGCCAAGCUUAUCUCCCUCUCUGUCUUUUAAAAUUACUUCAAAAUUUUGAAUAAAAGUCAAAUUUCUGUCAAAAAAAGAAAGGCUCAAAAUUUUGAACUCUACAAAACAUAUUUAAGGACCCCAAGCCAUUUUGAGUGGAAGAAGAUGAAUUUGAUCAAAACAGUUUAAAAUUCAAAUUCCAAUUUGGUGGCAAAUCCAAUUUGAAUUGGGGCAAAACAAAGAAUCUAAAAUUAUUUUUGAUUUUUCUCAACAACUUGAAAAAUUUACAAAAUAAAAGUUGUUCACUUUGAAGAGCUCUACAGCUUUCAUUUUGGUCACCUUUCAAGAUUUCAAAUAGAUUUUGAAAUAGGGAUUCAAAUUGAAAAGGGGACAAUUGUUGGAAAUCUGUAUUUUUAAAAUUACUUUGAAUUUUGCAUUGAAACUUCAAAAACUCAAAACACCAAAGUUGUACAUCUUGACAAGAUCUACAACUUUGCUUUUGAACUCAUCCCAAAAUUUUGCUUAAUUUUUAAGUUGCAGAAAAAGGGGUAGAAUCUAGGGUUGAAACUAGGGUUUUUCUUACAUAUUUCCUUACAACCCUCGGAUUACACAACCAUCACAGGCAUCACUUUACAAGAUAAACACACUUUAUUUCUCUAAGCACAGUCAACCAAAUUAAACUUAUUUUUAGUUGAUGCAUCAUGAUGUGCUUAAUAAAUAUGCUUUGCAAUGCUUAUGAUGACAUGAUCAAGUUUUAGUAUCCGUAAUAUCAGGAUGUUACACUAUACUGCAUUUCUCAUGAUUCUUUUUCUUUCCAUACUUGUCUUCUGCUUUCUUCUACCAAUAUAUCUUAAAUACUUAUAUAUUGUAUAUAUAUCUUCAUUGCAUGGGAUCUUGCUAGUUUCUCUUUUCCCUCUUCCUUAGCUUGUUAUAUUGUGUAUUACUGAAUUCAUUUUCUGUUAUCAAAUCACCGUAAAACAUUGGUGCAUAUGAUUAGUGAGAAAAUAGGCUUUGUGAAUUAUUAUUAGAUUCUACAGCGAUCAAUAUCCUCAUCUGAUGGCAUUGAUGCAGAUAUCUGAUCUCAUGUUAACGUCCAUAAAUUUAAUAAAGAAAAAAAACUGCACUCUAGGCAAUGGAAAUUUUCCUUUUCCAUAAUCUAUUCACAAACUGUCCAUUAUAUGUGUAUUAGUCUACACUAUUGAAAUGGUGAUCAGAUGAUCAUUUAAAGCAGAUCAGUCUGACAAUGUGGUGGAUGUGAUUUGUGACUUCCUAUUAUGAGCUUCUUUUGAUUUUACUAAUUCUCACUUGAUUAUGCUAGAAUUUGUUGCCAAACAUAUCCUUGGGAGUGUAACUUGAUGCAUAUGCAUCUGCAGUACUUUUCUGAAUAAUAUCUGUUCAGAUUCAUGCCUAGUUGAAGAUAUUACUAUGGUAAAAUUUAUCAGAGAACCAUCCCUAGAUGGUUGGUGUCUAAUGCAUCUGUAUUGCAGGUGAAAAAGGAGAGCGCAGAGCGUGAAGCAUUGGGAGCGCUUCCACUCUACCAGAGAACCAUCCCAUAAAGCGCCUUUGCAUGAUCCAACAGUGCACGCCAUGGUCAGCAGCGUCUUGUAGUAUAAUGUGUAUUGUUUCUUUUCCCAGGAAAUACUAUGUACUAUUAUGUUUGGCAGCAAAAAAUAAAAAAGACAUAUGUUUUACUGACAUUUUGGUAUAGAAGUCUACAUGGUUAUGCACAACUGUUUUCGCUUCAGUUGAACAACUUGCCGUUGUCCUCUCGUAGUCCUACAACAAUAUAUGGUCGAUGAGAUGUAUAUUUGUGUAUUUACAAAAUUCUGGAACUGUUCGGUUCACUUCGCGAACAGAUAUACUGUACUGAGGUCCCUCAUGUCAGAUGCACUGUGCAAUGUUUUGUGUCAGCUAUUGCCAUUGCUCAUUUACAUUUCAAUUUGCCGGGCUGCGAAUUCAGAAUCCUAUAUGAUCUACCGGCCUGACUAAUGGGCGUCGUACAACGGCUCAAAUUUGUCACCACAAGAGGUCGGCCCAGUACAUGGAAAGGUCGAUGCUGCUAGGAAAAAAGUCUAAUUUUCCUCUUUCAUGAAAGCCCGCCUUUUCUUCCUCAAUUCCAAAACCGGACAAAUCACCUCCUUCAACUUUUCAAACCGUAUAUUUUACCUCUUUGGAGCGGUUUCGAAGGCGGUUUUACUACAGUAAAUAAUGGUUAUGCUACAGUAAUAGUGGUUUUGUCUUUUUUUAAAUUAUUUCGGCUGAAUCUUUGAAAAAUCAUAGUAAAUCAUAGAAAAAAAUCAUAAAAUGAAAAAUCUAUUUUUUUGACUCCACACAAGUAGAAUAAAUAUAUAAUAUGAUAUGCUUUAGUAUAAAGUUUUUGCUAUAAAGGUUUUGUACUUUUCUUUUAUUUAUUUAUUUGGCUGAAUCUUUAAAAAAUCAUAGUAAAACAUAAAAAAAUCAUAAAAUAAAAAAUAUAUUUUUCUUAGACUCCACAUGAGUAUAUAUGCAUAAUGAACAUACUAUAUUAUAUGUUCACUGUGUAGUUACUUAUGUAGAGUCCAACAAAAUUGGAUUUUCUAUUUUAUGAUUUUUCAGUGAUUUACUAUGAAUUUUCAAAUAUUCAACCGAAAUAUUUUUUUUAAAAAAGACAAAACCACUGUUACUGUAGCAAAACCGCCUUCGAAACCGCUCUAGGGAGGUAAAAUGCACGGUUUGAAAAGUUUAGGGGGGUGAUUUGUUCGGUUUUGGAGCUGAGAGAGGAAAAACGAACUUUCGUGAAAGUUGAGGGAGGAAAAGUAAACUUUCGUGUAAGUGUGUGUGUCCGCGUGAAAUUUCUAGUUUUGGCAUGAUGCAUAGUAUGUCUUAGAGGCACUUCUCCCAUGAAAUUUGUGUUAUGAUUUCACAGAAAAUCUUCGCUAGAUGGCUGUUGUUUAAUUAUAAUAAUGCAUCUGAGGCCUUGUUUAGUUGGCAAAAUGAAAAGUUUUCGGACACUGUAACACUUUCGUUUGUUUGUGGCAAAUAUUGUUCAUUAUGGACUAACUAGGCUCAAAAGAUUUAUCUCACGAUUUACAUACAAACUGUAUAGUUAGUUUUUGUUUUUGAUUAUAUUUAAUGUUUCAUGCAUAUGCCGCAAGAUUCGAUGUGACAGUGAAUCUUGAGAAGAGAGAGAGAGAGAGAGAGCGCAUCUGUAACACGUACUUCCCCAGUAUGCAGUACUGUACUAUAGAUAAAUUGAACCUCUCUAACAACGCACGCUAUAAAAUGCGUCGAGGGUGAUACUGUACUAGUCAGUAUGCGUCUGAGUACACUGUAACGAGGUCUCCAUGGUUCUGCUAUGUUUUGGAGUAUAGUUUGCAGAUCCAUUCGAUGACCGGAUCGAUGUGUAGAUCGAUCGAAACACAUGACAUCUUGUGCUACACAACUACAAUACUACGUACAGUACAACGGUGGCGUGCCUGAUGCGCAACUGAGCAUUUGCCGGUCGAAGCUACUGCUUCGUACUAACAAGUGUACAACGAUCCACAGUAACAGAACGGGAGUACCGACACUGUAGACAGUAUGUGCAAGUGCACUCCUGUCAAGUACUCACUCCCCUCUCUUUCAUGUACAUGCACCCUUUUUUUUGAAUCUCAAGUACAUGCACUUUACCUUCGUCAGCAAAAAGCUCAACGUCAAGUUUAAUUAGGAAAUCACGCUAUAAAGUUUGAUCAAAGUUAUAGUAAAUAAUAUUAGGAUUUAUGUUUUCAAAUAAAUUUAUUGUAUAUUCAAUAACUAAUUUAAUUGUAUUUAUUUUGUCUCAUAGAUGUUAGUACUUUUUCAUAUAAUUGUCUUGUCCCAAAUUAAACGUCAAGUUUUAUUUAUUUACUGGUAGUAAAAAAACCCCAAUGCUUUCUUUUAUCUUGCCUGAACCAGUUGCAAUUCUUUCGCUCUAGAAAAACUGAAAGUUGAGCAUGAGCUCUUGUUGCAUGCAUUCGCUGAAUGAAGAAGGUAAUUAUACACCCAACAUGAACAGGCCAACAACCUCGAACCUGAAGUCUGGUUUCCAAUGGUCCCAACGAUAGAUUUUUCAACUUUUGAAACCUUACCAACUUCCCCCUUUGUUCAUGCAUGUUACCUUUAACCCAGGGUACUGAGAUGUGUUUUGUUUGGCCUCUACUACCCAAGAAAACUGCAGACACUCCAAACCCCCUUAAAAGGCAAGUUUGUACACAUCUGCUGUUGCAAAUCUUGUGAGCAGGUAAAUACGUACCAACCAUGCAUUUUGGGUUUCGGUUUUUGGAUCCCUUGCUACUAGCUGUCUCUGUCUGGGUGUGCACACAGAGCAGUGUCCACCAUGCAUACAUGCAUGUGACUACCUCUGCAUGACUGGUUUUUGUCUUGCACUUGCAGAACCUCUAGAAUACUCGGCAUGGAUUUGAAUGCCGCAGCAAUCUUACUCCAAGACUGAGACUGCUAUAAGUCAUUAUGAUUAAUUUCAUGCAAAUGCAAGUAUACAUUGGUCAUCAAUCUCUCCCUGAUCCACACACACACCUUGCUAAAUGCUAAUGCUAGCUACCUAGCUAUCUACAUACACAAUCCUUUGAUGACAGUUAGCUGAUGGCAUGAUUGGGUGCUCAUACUUUUCCUUGUGUCCAUCUCCAAAUGAUUGAGUUUUUCCCAGUGGAUGACAUGUAGCUUUCACACCCCUGGAUAAGCCUCCAUAAGUGGAGAGCAAGCAGGGUCCUCAGUCCUCACACCAACCUCCAUCGUCUAUCCCAGCACUCCAGCAGCUGUGACUGUGACCACCACACACAUUGCCAUGGCAUGCACAUGGAUGGCGAGAUGAUCCCAGCAGCCCCUCAUCAGCUGCAUGCCGUGGCUGUGACAUGUGAAGAUGAGACUGAAGAAGGACCAUGCAAGGGACCUCUGCUCACCAUAUGCAUCAUGCUGUAUGGUACAGUACUAGCCACUAGGAGCAGCCUUUUUGGAGGACAAACAUUGCUGCAUUAUUGUUUGUGUCUCCUCUCCUAGGCCCUCUUGUACGUAGUUGUAGCCACUGCCCAUCGACAAACGCCAUAAAAUGCCUGCUCCCGGGCUCGGCCACAUAUGCCUGACUUUCAGCUGCCAAUGUGUGUUUUUGUUUCGUAGCAUUUGCAUGCCACUGUAAAUUUGACUGCACGCUUUACACAAGAUUCCAAAUUAAACAUCAUCAAACUUUUGAAUAUGAUAUGCUGAAGCGUCAAGAUGCGGACACUGACUGAAGUGACUUUUUUCAGAAAUUCUGUGAGAAAUCCUUGGCCUGAACCCUGAAGGGGAGAAAUAAACGAUUGCAUGAUGACCUUCCUUAAAACAAGAGCCCCAGUUAUGUGACUUAUUAUUACUUGGCCAGCAACCAAAUGGGAGAUAAACCGAGUUGCUUGUCAUGUCAUUUCACAGUAAUUUUGAUCCAAAUCAUGCACGGUCCACCCAUGGUAGUAGUGGUAGGGCAUGGGCUAUGAUUUUGUGGACACAAGUGAUUUGGCGACGUUUUAUCACAAUUUGUGCACUUGAGAUAGAUCAUGCAUGGUGCCUACGUAAUUAGGUUAUGAUUCCCCUUUAAUUUGAACCCAUAGGAAACUUAAAGAUGCCCCCUUUCCCCUUGUUGUGGUUGAUGAGCAACGCAUUUGCAUGAUGGGAGAUACUGUUUUUUCUUAACAGGACCAACACUGCUGCAGAAAUGAUUGAUUGUUAUUUACUCCGUAUAGCACUUGCAAGGAGCAGGCAUCAUUAAGUUCGUUCUCAUUUAAAAUGAAAAGCGGUAAGUGCGUGCUUAAUUUAUUAGAAGAAAUGGAAAUCUCACCUGCAGUGGAUUAGUACAUGAUGACACUGCAGCCGUCUACAAUCGAUGCAGCCUGCAUUAGUACUUGCUGUAUCUUUUUCCAAGCUUAAUAAAAAUAAUUCCUGCCAGUAAUUCGUACCAUAUAAUACUUAUUAUAUUCUUGUUCCUUUUCCUGACAACCUAUAUAGAGAUCCCUAGCAUAUAUGGUGCCCUGUAUUUCUUUCAUUUUUAUUCCCAGUGUGUUGCAGCCUUGCCAUCAGAAGUUGGCGGCAGGAAAGAUCAAAGGGUACACUUUUUGGGCUUGGCAUGGGGUGGACAAAUCUACCAGCUAGGCUACUGUGAGCAAACAAAGCAACCGGGCAGCAGCCCAUGUGAGGCUGAUGGGGGUGUGCAAUGCCAUUGCCAAUGCAGAGGGAUCCUUGAUCUCCCUCCUUUCUUGCGUGUCAAAGUGACGUGGGCUCAUGUGACGGUGCAUGGGAGAAACACAUAUACUACUACUUUCUGGGCAAAGUGCGUGGCCUGGCUGAAAAUGCAUGCAUGACAAAAGCGUCUUUUGUGGAAAGGCGUAUGUUUGGGGCUUUAUGGUUUAUCACAGGCCUCCCUCCCCCUCCCCCCCCCCCACCCCCCCCACCCACCACGACCACUACACACACACACAAACAAACAAAGAUGAACUUAGUGAUUUGGAAUACUAACAGUGAAUUUUUCAUGAGUGCCAACAUCAUGAAUCAUACAAGAUGGCUUCACUCAGGUAUGUUGAUGGAGCAUCCUUAAAUAAUUCUGAUGGUUGUGGUAUUAUUGGUGGCCUCUAAAAGUUGCAUCAAUUGGUGAAAUGUUGGUGAUGGUACAAUCAUUUAUGUUGUUGAGGAAGUGCAAUAAUACGGUUAUGUUAGUUGAGGGGUGUGUGGCCAGUGACCAGCUAGCACAAACCUAUUCGUUGGUCCGAAAAGUCAUGAUUGAAAAUAUUGUUCACUGAUUUAUUAUGAAAGAAAAAUACUGUUAGCUGGCAGAAAAGGUACGGCUUAUAAGACAAGCGAACAGGCUUGCGUGAAUAAUUACAAUUACUUAUUAUGAAAGAAAAAUAUUGUUGGCUGGCAGUAAAAGUACGGCUUAUAAGACAAGCGAGUAGGCUCGUGUGAAUAAUUACAAUUACGUAGAGAAAGGUGAUUCAAUUUAAACAAGGGAGGUGAGCAAGAGAUGCCAUGCAUUCAAGUUUUUAAACGCAGGUUGCAUGAAAAGUUGGGAUAUUGCAAUUGCAAUCUCCUUUAUGUGAGAGAAUGAAUUCCACCUGGUCCAUUUGUUAUGCAUAAGGGACGGCUGCUGCUGCUUUUUCUUUUGAUGGAACGCAUGCAGUGCAGCUUCUGGAACAAGCAAAACAUAAGACAAAGCAUCUGAAGAGUUUCAGGCGCAAGUUCGUGGCAUCUUGACUAAACGCUACUUUGUGAUGCAUGAUCGGAUGACUAAUUGUGUACUAUCUAUAUUAAUAUUUACUUUUAUAUAUGUAGUUAAAGUUUAAAAUAUAUACUUAUUAGAGAGUGAGAAUGACACACCUUUUAUUGGACAAAAGAAUAGAAGACAUUAAUAGGUAUAUAUGACAAUUUGUUAUUAUAUUCUUCUACUAAAUAUAAAUAAAAAUUAUAAGAUUGUACUUAUAUAUAAAAAAUAAAAAUUAUUUUCUUAGCCCUAAAUAAAGUGUUGCCUAGAGUCUUGGCGGCCCUUUUUUCUUGAACUUGCUUAUUUGACCCUAAUAAAACUUUAGUUUCUUGGGCCUUCCAUUAGUUUGGUAGGCUAACGGUGCUAAUUAAGUUGUACGUACACGAAUCGACUCUUUUUUUAGUUGCUUUAGUUUGCACCUUAAUCUCUUUCGCCGUAUGAACUCCCAAAAUCGACCAAAAUUGACGAAUUUUGCAUCUCCUCUCCCCCCUUUUCCAUUGUCAUCCGUAUCAUCUUUAGAUUGCAACUUGAUCAAAUUCGUUGAAAUUUUUAGCUGAUUCUCUAUCCUGUCAACCAUUUCCGGCCGCUUCCAUCUCAAACGAAAGCCUUGUUUAGUUUUAAAAAUAUUUUAGAUUUCGGUACUAUAGCAUUUUUGUUUUUAUUUGACAAAUAUUAUCCAAUUAAUUAUGAACUAACUAGACUCAAAAGAUUCAUCUCAUGAUUUAUAGUCAAACUGUAUAAUUAGUUUUUGUUUUUGUCUAUAUUUAAUGUUCAAUGCAUAUGCCGCAAUAUUCAAUAUAACAGAGAAUUUUGAAAAGUUUUUGGGUUUUGGGGUGAACCAAACAAGGCUGAAUUCAGAUAUGAUUCUAUCUCAAAUGCUGCGCCACGAUGUGCUCAGAGCUUUGUUGAUGAGCGGUGGCUGGCUGUGCAGUCUCGAUGCUCGCCUUCGUGGCUUGGCACUUGCGUCCUCGCUCGCCGCCACUGCUGCCCUCUGCUAAUUCUAUGGGUGACCGCAGCUAAUCGCUAACCCGUGGAAGCCGUGUAACCCGCGGGUUCCAAACCGUAGAAACAGAGACAUUAUGGGUUAGGUUGGUUUUUUUACCCACAAACCACAUAAACUGGACCAUGCACAGGCUUACAUCAAAGUACACCCACUUGAAAACCCAACCAUCAGCAGACUUGCCCGCACAUGAGAAUUAUUUGAGGCCAUUUGUACAAAAUUCAAACUAUGGGAAGUCGAAUCUAGCUCUACGGAUGCUAACCAGGUGCUAUAACCACUACGCUAGACACCCUCGGCAGCACACACAUAUUUGAAGAUAUAUAUAAGUCUUAUUUUUCCUUCUUAUUAAAUAGAGUAGUAAGAUUACAUAAGGUAUAUACUAAGAGUUACCUAAUUUGUAUCAAUACAAUUAAGUCUAUAUAUACACUUAAGUAAACUUUGGUGCCUCAAAAAUUUUCGAGGCAUGUAGUUGUAGUGUCAUGACACUUGCGCUACGCAGUAAACUGGCCGCCAUAGUAGAUGGAUGUUCCUAAUGUCUUGAGACCUAGGAUUUUAUAAACAUAGGAAUAGAAAAAAACGUGAGAAUAGUGAAAGGUCCUUGUUUGGUUUUGGUAAUUGAGUGACAACUUAGGUGGACUAAUAGUAUUUAUGUGAGAUACACAGGAGAUUAGUCCACAGGUGAUUAUGUGAAGAUGAAGGAGCUCAUUGCAUAUGAGACAUGACAUGGAGUCAUGUGACCAAGGUGGAGAAGAUCAAGAUGAGGCUUGGCUUGAUGGACCGGUUGCAAGAGUGAAGGGCAAGUCGGAGGCUUUGAAGCGAGGGACCGCGUGUGACGGUGAAGCUUGAGCAAGACUUGGCGCCGAUGGACCGAGGCAACGGUGAAAAGCAAGUAAGGUCAAGAUCGAUGAACCAAUACGGUCACGUGAUGAUAUGAAGUGGAUCAUAUCAUUUGGUGAUUGGUUGGUGCAUGUGUUGCAUCAACAUUGGAGGAGAUGAAAUGAAAUGCGCAAGGCAAAGGUAUAACCUAGGGCAUUUCCAUUUCACCGGUCAUAGGUGUGUAGAGAAGUUUAUGACCGGAUUUAGGAUAGAUGGCCGUACUAUCAAGAGGGGCAAACUUGUUUGCAUAUCGGUCAUCUAGUGCCACUUGAGCGAUCUAACUUUACAUAUGUGUUAGGAUCGAGUGGCGUGGCAAGUUGAGAGGCUAACUCCUUUGGGAAAAUGUUUGUGAAAAUGCUAACACACAUGCACGUGGUGGUUUACACUUGGUGGUGUUGGCACAUUUUCAAAGGAGGUGGAGUUCCUAGGGUUGAGAGGGGUGUGGGUUCCUCUCUCCCUUCCGCCGAGCUUGCGAGGCGGGAUUAGGCGCUUUUGAGAAAAUUAGGUGUAUAUUUUCUAUUGCGCCGAUGGGAAAUUUGGAGAAGUCGCGGGAGUGUUUCUCUGUUGGAAACACUCACCGGACGCUGAGCAAAGGCACCGGACGCUGGCCUUUAGCGUCCGGUGUGCUGUCGGGUGUAGCAGAGUGCACCGGACGCACCGGAGAGAGUCCGGUGCCCAGCGUCCGGUGUUAGGGCGUUUUGCUACCCUCUCUGCGCAUGAGUCCGGUGAGCACCGGACGCUCAGGGUGCGUCCGGUGGCUUGCGUCCGGUGACCGUGCGAGUUUGCGGAUCUCUCUGCGCACGAGUCCGGUGAGCACCGAACGCGUCCAGUGUAACGCAGUAGAGCGUCCGGUGGUGCUGAGCUGGCACGCGUGCGCAGUAGCCGUUGGCGGCAACGGUCGAGUUCAAACGGCUAGUGACACGUGGCUGACGCCUGAGCACCGGACGCUGGGGGUUGAGCGUCCGGUGGCUCCCUGUGAGCGUCCGGUGCCCACGUGUUUUGCCCAGUGAAGGGGCAACGGCUAGUUUAGCCCUUGGGGCUAUAAAUAUAAGUGGUGGCCGGCCUUGGCUGGUGCUGAGCACCCUUGGGACUUAGUGUCCAUGCUUGGGGAGUGCUAGCAAAGCCUCUAACUCACAUAUGCUUGAUAGUGAUCAUCCGAUUGUGUGAGUGAGCGAUUCUAGUGCGUUGCAUUGAGAGAUUGCAUCGAGUGGCACUAGGUGUUCGUGUUGCAAGCCGGUGGUGCUUGUUACUCUUGGAGGUUGCCACCUCCUAGACGGCUUGGUGGCUUGUGACUCCGUCGAAGCACGCAAGGAGAUUGUGCGGUGCUCCGGAGAAGAGAUUGUGAGGGGUACGGUGCUCACCCCGCGGGGAUCGCGAAGAGCAACUCUAGUUGAGCGAGACGUGAAGAGCGACAAGUGGUCCGGCCGGGUUAAGUGCUAGAGCUUGUGGUAAGCACUCCACGUGGGAGAGUGUGACUUGCGGGUCACCACUAGCAAGAGGACCGGCGGCAACCUUGGAGCUUGUCUCAACGGGGACGUAGCUUGGUGGCAACCAAGUGAACCUCGGGAGAAAAUCAUCGUGUCAACUUUGUUCUUUCCGUUGGUUUGCAAGUCCCUAACACAAGCUUGUAUUUACAUUCAUAUAUUUAUGCUUGUGUAGUUGCUCUUGUAAUUAGUUAGCUUGUGUAGCUUGCUAGUUACCUUCUUGCUUGUGUAGCUAGAAGUAGUUCCCUUGCGUGACUAAUUUGGUUUGUGUAACCUUGUUAGUCACAUUGCUUAGUUUGUGUAGCUAAGUAAGUUGCGCUCUCUAAUUUGGCAUUAGUUGCCUUGUUAUUGAGCUUGCUAGUGAGCUUAGGCUUUGUGCGCUUUGCGUCACUAGUUUGAGUAGGAGCUCCCUCGGUUUGCAAAGUACUAGUUGCAUAGGUUUGUGUGACCUUGCUUCUAGAUUUGGUUAGGUGAGCUCUUGCUAAGGUAGCACCUUGCUUGCUUGUUUAGGAUCUUUUCAAGGUGCUAGAGAACUUAGAUAGAGGGGUGUAGUCUUGGCUAGACCGAUAGUUUUAAUUUCGCAUUUGUUUUCGGUUAGCCGGCAUAAUAAAUUUUAGAAAGAACUAUUCACCCCCCUCUAGUCCGCCAUCUCGACCCUUCAAAUAGAAUACUCUAACACCAUAAAUCUUGUGAAUUUUGAGAAUACAAAAAAAAACUACUAUACUGAAUGUUCAGAUAGAGCACAGAGAAAAAAAAUUACAUGAAUAGUGACGCAAAAAAAAACUUUCAUGUUAAAAAUUCCUAUAAAACAAGCCAUUCCAUGAGAAUUUUAUAGGAUUUGUAGUGAGGAACAAAUCAUUUGUUCCAGUGCAAAGAGUUUUAUAUAUAUAAAGAAAUAGUUGUUGUACAGGAUUUCAAUCCUCUAGUUGUUCCAAAGUGAAAGCUGAAAUUCUAUAUAGCUCUGCCUGCU
rnacentral:lncRNA from 1 species